AAAUACUUCUUCUUUUGCUUGUUAGCGCUCCACAGACACACAGACAAAUUCAAACACAUUACAUUUCCUGUAGAGUACAUGACAAAUGGUGUUGAAUUACAAGGCAUACAAACCCUAUUGCUCCCACCACAUUGUAUGAGAAAGCAUCACCCAGAGACCAGAGUAUGAUAUGGAAACUGUUGUUAGUUGAACAAUCAAGUUUAUGCAUCUAAGGCUAUCAUCUGAAAUGUUUGAAACUCUUACACCCAUAAACAAACUGUAUAACAGCACUUGGUACAGUUUAGUUGUUGUCAUUGACAGCAACUGCAAGUGCCAGUGAAGUUUAGCCCUAGACAUACAAAUGCUAGUCCUUGGAGAUAGAGAUUAAAAUAGUAGCUAGUCUUGCCAGGGAAUACAAGGUUGUACGAUGCACAGAAGAAAAGAAACGCCGAAAAUACAAUCUCGCGAAAAUUAACCCUGCAAGAAAAAAUGAUGAUGUCAGUUACAGUCUAGCAUAUAGUAUAUCUUAUGGUCUGAAUGCUCAUAACCUUGACUAAGAUGUUGGUUUACCUGUCUCUUAAUCUUUUCCUUGUUUUCUGUAACAAGGGAACUUCAUUAUCUUCAAAAUUGUUCCCUGUUUUCUUUGUCACGACCCACUCGUUAAACUCUGAUAAUUCGAAUAGACCAGAGAGGGCAGCUCUCAUGCGAUGCAUUGUCAUCACACUCUCGAACAAAAUCCAAAAUGGCAGAAUGUGCAAAUUUCUGCAGAGAUGGUUUUAAGGUCAUUAAGUUUUUGGUAUGUGGAGAAGUGGAGACAGUAAUCAAAUUGUAACUGAAAGCACUUUUUGAGAAACUUACUUUGGAUGUCUAAUGGCUGUGACCACUAAAAGUACUGUGGGAAUAUAUGCGAUGCCCCAGACUGGUAGGAAUAGUUCUGGGAUCAUAACUGAGAUCGGAAGUAUGAUAUUGUAGAGAAUACACGCGACAGUAGGGGCCAUGACUCUCCGAACCAAGAAGAAGCUAUAGAGCAUAUGGAACUUCUUGAUGAGAGAUACAUCCUAAUGAAACAACAAUGGGAUGAAUUUCAGUUUUCUUUAAAUAUUUUGUUUGAGCCAACGAGGGAAGAAAACCCUACCUUAGCAGUCAAAAUAUCUUUUGCUACUUUUCGGAAUAAAUGUGCACCACCACAGGACCACCGAAAUUGCUGUCGACAGUAGGCCUUGUAAGUAGAUGGCAAUUCACUCUUAACCUGCAUUGUGCUUGCAUAGUCAAUUGAUUGCAUCAAACUAUAAUACUUUCAACAACAUUGUUGUGGUACAAAAUCCACUCACUCUGAUAUCCCCGACAUAUACAAAUUUCCAACCCUUUAGGGUUGCUCGGACUGCCAAGUCCAUGUCUUCAACUGUAGUGCGGUCCUUCCAACCUCCUGCCUCUUUGAUGGCUGCUGUACGCCACACUCCAGCGGUUCCUUGGUUUACAACAGAAAUUCCUUAAGACAACCAUUUAUUUUCUGAUCUAUGUUCUAGAGUUUUUUUCUUUUAUUUUGUGGCUUAGAAUCCAUAAGUUGUAAAGGUGUGUACCAUUGAAGCUGAAGAAGGAAAAGGUUGCUGAUCCUGCUUCUUGCUCAACUUUGAAAUGGUAAUCAAAGAACAUCUUUUGUACCCUUGUCAACAGGCUCGCGGUGUCAUUCACUGCAAAAUUCUGUCAAUUAAGAACCGAUCAAUUCAAUCGGAGCAAAUAAAACGCUAUCAUGUUUGUGGAGUGGUACAUUAGCACUAUUUUGCAUGCCAAAUUUCUGGGAACUGUUUUGGUACUUUGUUUCUGGCACCACAUGAACGAUAAGACAGGAUAAGCUGAACAUGAUUUAGAUGUUCAUGAAAUGCAAAGAGACGGUUCUUUUGUGCAACCAGAGAAGCGAAUUUUUUUAUCCUGACUUUCUCGCCUUAGUUUUCUAGAAAGUGCUUCCAUGCAUUUACGAAUGAGGUCAGGGAAUGGACAUACUCCCUCCGUUCCAUAUUACUCGUCACUGAUUUAGUACAACUUUGUACUAAAUCAGCGACAAGUAAUAUGGAACGGAGGGAGUACAUUCCUAUGUGGUGAACUGGUGAUGUGAUAAAAUAUUUAAAGCAUAUAUGACAAGUGCAAACAUAUAGGACAGAAGAAAAAUCAUAGUUCAGUUUUCAUUUCAUGAUCUAUUGAAAACUGUCUUGUGAUAGACCUGUAGCUGGAAAGAGGAAUGCUCCAGAGCUGAUAGUAAAUGGAGUACUUACCGAACGACCACCGAGCUUGAACAAGAGCAACUUCUGGAUUGUGCACGAAGAACGGCACUGUUCUGAGAAGGAAGUCUGGUUCAGGCUGGAAAUCAGCAUCAAAUAUGGCAACAUAUUCGCACUGCUUGGCAUAGUCACAUUCCAUUCCUUUCUUCAGGGCUCCUGCUUUAAACCCCUUCCGGCUGCUUCUCGUGGCAUACUUGAUGUUCAGACCCUUGACCGCCCAGCUUUCACAUUCAAGCUCCACCAAGUUCUGCAGAAACAAGUAACCAAUCAGCAUAGAUGCUCUAGAUUGCAUAUAAGACUGUCGAUAUCCUGUUCUAGCAGCAUAUCUUAGCAUGUCAUUUUGUUAUUGCCCUGUGAAGUCUGAUCACAGAGGAACUUGAGCUUGGCAACUCAGAAGUCUUGUAAGUGGGAAAAAGGAAAGGAUGAACUAACUUUUCAACCACUUGUUAGCAUGUACCCUGUGAAUGUCUGCGCUUGCAAUUGGAUAACUUCCUUCUCAGGCAAGGUUUAGUUUUGUUGCUAUGCCAUCACAAAUGGUCUUUAUUGUCAUUGGAUGGCAUUAUACAAAUCCAAUGGGAUAAUACAGAUCAGAAUGUCACUGUUAACGUGAGGUCUACCUGCUUACUACACUAACAGACAUUUGUUUGGGAGGCCACCCCCGCUUUAUCUAAAGGUACAUGUGCACGCCAAUUAGUCUUUCUACCACAUCCCACUAAACUGACCUGUCGAUUGGAAUAUAAGCUCCAAUUCGGUCAGUCUGCCACUUAAAACAGACGAGAAGGCUUCACUUUUUUUCGUCCGAAAUGGAUCAUUGUGGAAUAUCAAACGAUUUAUCUUAGUCAAUUGGAUGGUAUGCAACAAUCUGAGUGUUCAAAAGAAGAGCAAUUUGCAAGGAAUACCACGGAGAGUGUCAGGUAAAUGCCUUCGAUCCAAAAUAGAAGUCAUAAUUUUUGGCAGCUGGGAAGAUCCCUCUCUUUGAGAAGAAUAUGCCCACCAAUUAUUGAACCAGCUCUUAAGAUCCAUAGGUCCGAAUAAAGAUUGGACAAGUGGGCGGCCAGCAGGAGGGGGUCAGGGGCAGGGGCCUCCUGGUGUAGGGAAAUAUCAGGGCCAAGUAAAUGAGCUCAUGUGGAUGUAUACUGUAUAACACCCACCCAUCUCGCCGGUAAUCAGUAUCAGGGUUAAACUUCGGGCCUGUGCAGAAGAGCAGUAGCUCUUUUUUUUUAACUGAAGAGGAGUAACUUUUGGUAAAGUUUUGAUGUUUAGUUCAGAUUUACAUACCAACACUUUACCAAGCAAAGUAGUACCAUUCUUCCAAACGGCCCUAGUUGGACCAUGUUGCUGACUGACUGGAGUAGUGUCCAAUGGUUAUAUACUCCAUGGUUUCUGGUGUGGUUAGAUUCAGAAAUUGUUGCACUGGCUGCACUUUGUGUGAUGACCGGUUGGCCCGUGGCAUAAAUAUGUGUGGUUCUGGUUGGAUGUCCAGGUCAGUGUGGAGCAACUGAAACAUAAAUGGACACUAUUUUCUGGCAAUUGGACUGAAACUGUUUCCACCGGGAAAAGAGCUGCUACAACUUCUCACUUGCAUCAUUAUCAUUACUUAUACUGGCCGACAUAGGUCCCCAGCACCCAGACAGUUGGGGCCCACAUACUUUACCCAUGUGAUUGCAGGGCCCAGAAUCCAGAUGAAGAGAAUAAUUAUCAUUUUCGCCCUACUCCAGUGACAACUUGCGAAGUUCUGAUAGUGAAAGAAAACCUAGUGACACCGUUGAAGUAGUUUUCAUCCAAAUAACCCCGUGUAUAGAAGCCUACGAUUAAACUGAAAGAAAAGAAAAUCUCUACACCCACCUAACUAAGAAUAAGGUGCAUGCUCCUGUGACAGUUAGUCUUGUCUCGUGUCAAAAGAUUUUGACAUCUUUUGCUGUAGUAUCACACAUGAGGUCCAAAUUCAUAUGUUCCUCUCUUAGCAGCAGGAGCAGCAGGUUGAAGUCUCACUUAUUUGAGGAGGACUAUACUAAGAUAGGUGAGUGUUCAGGUUCGCCACUUCUCCUAAAAUAAAAUAGGCAAGUUGCAACAGACAUGGUGGUAAUGUACUAAUGCAGUAUGGGGGCAGUUGUGCUAAAAUAAAUAGUAUCGUUCAGCAGAAUGAAAUCCAGCCAUGCAACACAGGAGGAGUUAAAGUCUACCUUGAUAAACGGAUCGGUGGAGUCGUCCAGCACUUGGACGAUUAUCCUGUCCUUUGGCCACUGGAGCUCACAUGCCGCGCCUAUCGACAGCUUGUACACCUACGCACACAGCUCGACCACACGAAAUAAAUUAGCAAGACGCCCAAAUAUUAUAACCUCGCAAAAGAACAAAGAGAUCGAUAAUAGAUCCAGCACAAUCAGCUAAAAAGAAUUUGUUUUCGCGUUCUGGAUAUCACCCAAAAAAAAAAGAGAAUGAGUAAAGAUUCUGAUCACCUCCAGCUCAUUGUACAUGGGUAUCUGCACGAGGACCAUGGGGUAGUGGGCGCCCCCCUUCUCCUCGUCGUCGCCGGCGAGGGGCUCCCACUUGAACCGCCACUCGGGGCGCCAGCCGACGGCCUUGACGCCGAGGCUGACCACGCAGUUGUACAGGGCCUCCACCACCAGCAUCACCGACAUCACCAUGCACGCCCAGACGGCCACCUGCAGCGCCGGCGCGAUCACCCGGCCCCGCACCCGCACCCACAGCUCGUACACCUCCGCCAGCGACACGCCCCCCGCCGCCGACGAGGAGGAGGAGGAGCCAUCGAAGACGCCGAUGAACCACGAGAUGGCCUCCUGGAAGUCCACCCGCCCGCCCACUGCGAGAGGAGAGAGAAAAAGAGCAAUGAUGGCCCGAGAAAUCAGAUCACGUCACGUGCGCCCCGGCGCGGCCCGCGAGGGAGAAAGAAGCGAGAGGGAGAGAGUAAUGUACCGGCAGGCGGGUGGCUGAAGUCGACGGCGCCGGUGGAGACGGCGGCGAAGAGGGCCGCGGCGGCGGCGAGGGCGAACAGGAGAGCGCCGCCGAUUUCUGCAGCCUCCAUGGGCGAGGGGGGAGGUGAUGGGCGGGGGAGAGAAGAAGAGUUGCGACUGGUCGAGCCCAAAUGGGGGCGUUUUCCUUAGGUCUACACCAGCGUGUGUACUUUGUCCCUCCCUUUCCCCUUUUGAUAGGCUUCCUUCGGUGUACUACGUGCUUUAUAUAUCUCGUGCAAGUGGGCACACUUUUGCUAUCUCUCCCCCAACUAUUAAAUCGGAAACAUAGCAUUUGAUAUUUGAGGACAAUUUCGCCACGAACUUACCACUAAAUUUUGGGUAAACAUAGCAUUUGGGUCGUGCUAAUAUGUAUAGUUUAAUUUAUUUUCUUCCAUACAUUACUAUUUAAAAUAUCGAAAACACUUCGUUUCAAUUGGCGGAUUGCACGCGAUCGUCCGCUGCCUCACGCUUCUCUUUGCCUGCCCGUUUCUGCAAAAAAAGAAAGGAAAAAAAUCUGCAACAUCAUUGGUAUUGCAAAAGUUUCUUUGGCAACAACGUCCGUGUUGCAAACAGUGAAGGCGGAAAAAAAAUUCAGCAUUUGUUUUCUGGACCAUCAUCUGUGCUGUAAAAAUUCUUCCUCAACAACACCCAUAUUGCAAAAAAAUAAGGAAAAAAAUAAUAUUAAAUUAUUUUCAGCAAAAUCAUCUAUGUUGUAAAAAUUUCUUCCGCAACAACACCCAUUGUUGCAAAAAAUGUGAUGACGAAUUUUUUUUAUUAAAUUAUUUUCUGCAAUAUCAUCUAAGUUGCAAAAAUUCCUUCGACAACAACACCCGUGUUGUAAAAAAGUAAAGAUGAAAAAAAGUUCUGCAACAUCACAUAUGUUGAAAAUGGUUUCUCUCGUGUUGCAAAAAAGUGAAGAUGAAAAAAAGUUCUGCAACAUCACAUAUGUUGAAAAUGGUUUCUGCAACACUAGCCUUGUUCAACGCUAGCCUGGGUGAGAACUGUGUUGGACGCUCGCUAGAUCUAACGGCUGUCGAGGCGACAGGUAUUUUAGAAAGAUCCGCCGGCCGACGCAUAGCACGCACCUUAAAAGAUUAACAACGUUCAUGAAAAACAAUAUCAACAUCUAUGAUGGUAGUUCAACAUCAGUAGAUACACCUUGAAACAUACUUUCUAAUCAACUCCUCUUUGUUUUGCAUCAUAAAUAUUGAUAUUUUUUUUGUAUAAACUUAUCCAAACUUCAAAAUGAAAAACUUUAACAAUAGUUGUUAAAGUUAGUAAAGUUAAUUUAACACCAUGGGAAUACUUUUUAUGAUAGAUUAAACUUUUGUGGACAUAUGCAAUCAAAGCUAAUAAAUUUAACUGUUUAUUUCCUCAAGAGGAAUGCAUUUACAUAGACAUAUAAUAUUUCUCAUGAUUCGUAUGAAAAAGGAACAUCAAGAGAGUGACUAAUUAUAUAACGACCUGGUGAGGUCACACCACAAGCUAACUUUGAACACACAAAAAGCAAACUCUAGACGACCCGUUUGGAAUUUCUCUCCAAUAUGAGACAGAUAAAAGGAACGGCUGUAACUCUACAUAGGGUUCUUAAUGACUCCUUUUUUAGUAAAUUCCAUUGUUACCCCCAAGAUCCGCCUUUGUGACGGACAUUACCCAUUGAAAAAAAAAUCGCAAUCAUACUUUUAUUGACGCCCUUUGGUGCCACAUUUUAUUUCAUUUUUUACCCCCAAGAUUUGCCUUUGUGAAAGGUAUGCACUGGCCUUCUCCUCUAUUUAGUCAUCGAACGAAGCUCUUUGUCUUCUUAGUUAGGUUUAGGGUUUUAGGAGGGUUGAGCAGGGCAAAAUUAGGGGUCCUAAUUGUUUGAUUUGCUGUCGAUUUAUGUUCGGAAGUGUUCUAAUCCGUCGAUCGCUGGAAUGUAUUUGCUUUUUGUUGAAUCAAUGGAUCCAACAUAGAUUUUAAACGUCGGAUUUCACAUAGGGGGAGAGUUUGUUCGAAUUGGCCCUUGUCUGGACUAUGUUGGUGGGGAUGUGGUCUAUUCAAAAAUUGAGAGGGACGAGUUGUCCUUACAGGAGUUCAAAGGCUGUCUCAGGGAUCAUAUCGUUGUGAAGGAAAGUAUGAAAUAUUACUUCCUUUUGCCUGGUAGAGAGUUGGUAAAUGGCCUAGUUUUAUUGUAUGAUGAUGAGGGCUGCAUCAAGAUGUCAGACCACAUGACUAUUGGUGGAGUUGAUGGUAUCUAUGUGGAAUACAAUGGGUAGCACAAUUCAGAACAAGAAGAGGGUAGUGGUUCUAAUUCUGAAGAUGAAAUGCAGUAUGAGAUGGGGCAAUGAAAGUAAAAAGGAAGAUCCUAUUCUCAUGACUACAGAAGAUGAUCACAAUGUCAAUGCAAGUACAUAAGAACAAUUACUUGAGCAGGUGCUUGUUCCUAAUGAUAGUGGUGUUAUCACUGCAAUAAUUAGGAGCCCAUUGAAGAGAACAAAUGCAACUGUUGUUUUUUCACAACCAUCUCAGAGUUCUCAAGUGAUGAACCAUUCUUAGUGUGAGCCUAGUAAAGCAACAGAGCAACCAACAAAGAAAGGUGCGCAGCAUAAAGUAGAGCAUGCAAGACAACAUGGGCAGAGCUUGCAAGACAGCAAGGAGAGCAAGGAACUGGAAAUGCAACAAAUUAAGGAGGGGGGCUAGGGGCAACGAAAGAAAAAGAAUAGUUAGAUUUAGAGGAUAUUUAAUAUGUGCCACACCUUGAUGACAAUGGAGGGAAGUUAGAGGUUGUUGAGAUGAGAAAGCAUGUAAGGAAAUUUAGAAAGAAAAUGAAAGGCUUUAGGAAAUGGGUUGAGUCAUAUGCAAUAAGGACCGUUCCAUUUUAUUUCAUUGCAAAUGCUGAGGUGGUGGUAGAGGAAAUGGAUUUUGAGUCAUGUGAUGAGGACUACAGUUAUGAUGAAGAUAGUGAUGGGAACAUGAAGAAAAGGAAGAGAAAAUACCCAAGAUUUGACCGAGAAACUAAUAUUCCAUGUUUCAGUUUAGGGAUGGUUUUUACAAGCCAAAAUCAGUUUGUCAAGGUUAUUAAAAGAUAUGGUCUUGCAACCCAAAGAAGCAUGAGAUUCAAGAAGUCAGAGGAGAACAGGGUGAGAGUUAAAUGUGGAUGGCCUGGUUGUCCCUGGAUUGUUUAUGAAACAAAGAUUAGCAGAUGCUCAAGGUUUCAGAUUAUAACCUAUGAUGAUGACCACCAGUGUGCACAAAAUAGAUAGGACAUAUUGGUUACUGCAAAGGUCAUAGCCGAGAGGUAUGAGCAUUUCAUAUUGGCCAAUCUAAUGUGGAAAAUUGAUAGCAUAAAAGCUAUUGUCCUACAAGACAUGUUUGCUGAUGUGUCAACUUCAAAGUGCAAGUCAAGUAAAAGAAUUGGAAUGGACAAGUUGUUGAGUGGUACGAGAAACGAGUACAAUAAAGUAUUUGACUAUCAAUUCGAGUUGCUUAGGAGCAACCCUGGCAUCACAGUUGUUGUUUGCUUGGAUCCAACAGGCAUGGAAAAAACAAUGUGGUUCAAUAGUUUUAUGUAUGUUUCAAUGCAAUGAAGCAAGGGUUUACAACUAGUUGUAGUAGAGUAACUAGGCUUCAUGGAUAUUUUUUCAAAGGAGCAUGCCAAGGAGAACUGUUGGUUGCAAUUGCAAGGGAUGCUAACAACUAGAUGUAUCCUAUUGCUUGGGCAGUAGUGGAGAAAGAGACAACUGAGAACUAGAAGUGGUUCAUUGGCCUUCUAAUAAAAGACUUGGAUGUCAAUGAGCAAGGAGAAGGUUUUCAUUUCUGAUCAGCAAAAGGUAUGCUUUGUUCUAUGGUUUGGAUUCAUAUGCUCUGGUGUAUGCUUUUGUAAAUUUUGGUAGGUAGGUGUCGGAUUUCGGGUUCCGGCAAAACCCUUGAGGUUCGAACUCUGGGGUGCGCACGAAGAUCUCUCCUCCCCCUAGCUCACGCCCUCACCGCGAUCUCAAGGCUCAGCACGACGAACUCAUAGAACAAGAGACACAAGGUUUAUACUGGUUCGGGCCACCGAUGUGGUGUAAUACCCUACUCCAGUGUGGUGUGGUGGAUUGCCUCUUGGGCUGAGGAUGAACAGUUACAAGGGAAGAACAACCUCCUGAGGAGAGGUGCUCUUGUGCUUGGUGAGCUUGUGCAGAUGAGGAUGAUCUGAAUGGUCUCUCUCUCCUACUGUGGUGGCUAGUCCUAUUUAUAGAGGCCCUGGUCCUCUCCCCAAAUGCUAGGAGGGAAGGGAUCCAACAACGACCAAAUUCAAAGGGGAACAACCAGUACAAGUUAUCCUGACUAAAGGCGGUCUUCGCCUGCCAAAGGCUCUGGUGGUGACGCUGUCUUGGGCUCCACGGUGACCUCCGUCCUGCUGGUCUUGGUCUUGUUGCACCGAUAUGGAAACCUUUGCUUGAUGCCUCGGGACUCCUCGCCUGUGCUUGCCUCUUUAGCACCAAAGAGGAAAUGAGGACACUGUGCGCGCUGGCGCCCGCCUAGCCUUGGUCGUCAUGGCUUACAUCACAGAAACCUCGCGAGGUGCCCCUCGCCUUGAUCUCUCCGCCCCUCGUGAGCCAGCCUGGUGAGGCCGCCCCCGAGGAGGUCUUGCGUCAUCCGCCUCGCGAGGCUUAGCCCCUCACGAGGGUCUUGAGCAUUGGCUGAUGAAGAUGGGCCGUACGGGGCCGCUGGUGGAGCCACGCCGUGGGCCGCAGGCAGGCAAGUCUGGGGACCCCCGUUCUUAGGACGCCCACAGUAGCCCCCAGGCCCAAGGCGCGCUCGGACUUGGCUUCGAGGCGAAGCCAAGGGGCAAGUGCGGAGCGCCGCGGGCCCCAACAGCCUGCGGCCUCGGUUGACGCGUGGCGAUUGACGGGACGUGGGCGUCUCCGCUUCCCCACACUGCCUCGGCAACUGCCCGACUUGACGAGUCCCUGAUACAUGCAGGGAAAACCAUCAUUACCUGUGAUCGUGGGGGCCGCCGGUUGGCCUUCUCCUGCUAUAAAUGAGGAGGGGGGGGGGCGGAGCCCCCGUUGCUCAUCUCUUCCUGCUCCGCUUGCUUCUGCUCCCUUGCUUCAUUGCUAGCAGCGACACUCAUGGCGCCGAUACGGAGGUUCCCGGCCGCAGAGAAGGGAAAAACCCCCCGCGACGAGCCGGGGCCGCUUCCGCCGAAGAAGAGGCUGGCCCACCACCGCGACGUAGUCGUGAGGCCGGGGGUGUCGAGGCCUUGGUGCGAGCGGCCUCCUCCCGGGUAUCCGCUGCCUUUGUACGGCCAAGCCGAGGGCUCCGGAGGGAGAGGCGGCGAGCAGCGCUGCCCAUGCCGUGGCCAUGGUCGCCGCGCCGUGGUGACGCAUGCCGUCGCCCCAGGAGCCCACGCCGCGGACUCCUCGCGCGAACUCGUGAUGUGGGCGGUGAUGCCUCCGCGCACUUGGAUUCGCUUUCCGCAGUUCUUCUCCGCCGAGAUGCCGCCGAGGGGUCCCCUCGAGCUUUGGCUGCAGCACGCCGACUGCGACGCCCCGACGAUUGGAGCGGAGGUUGAAGUUGUCUCCCCAGGCAAGAUCUUCAUGACCCGUGGCUGGGGCGAGGUUGCUCGAGUCUGCCGUACGGAAGGCACCCUCGCCAUCCAUUUUGAGUACGAUGGCGCCUCCACGAUGUUCUUCAAAGUCUUUGACGAGGAAGGCCGCCGCCUGGAGUGCUGCCCCGGAGGGGGUCGUCGGGACGGCGCGGCGGCCAACGCCGGGCCUGCCGCUGGCCUCGCCAGCAGCUCCUCCAGCAGUAGCGGCGGUGCUUGGGAGUCCAGCGACUCUCCUGAGCCCUACGAGACCCCGGAGACGAGCGACGACAGCUACGUGCCCCCGAGCUCUCGCCGUGCCCGGAGCAAGGCCGCGGCGUCCGGCCGCCGCCGUCGCUGAUCUGGAUGGGGUUGGCGCCGACCUCCCGUGGCCCAUUGUUGAUGAUGGCGUCGGCGGCGCUGGCGCGUGUAGAUAGGGCUUCUAGAAACUUCCUUCUUUUGUUCCCUGCGAGGAAUCGAGACGGACCCCGUGGGGGUGUGUGAAGGGUCUGUAAUGCCUUUUGUUGAUAUUAUCCUUACUACGAAAAUUUGCAAACGCAUGUCCUGCUUCGGCUCGGUCUCCCCUUUCCAACUUCGCAGUGACUUGGUGCUCUACGCCGACAGGUCCCGGUCCCCAGGAAGGCUGCAGCCGUCGCUGGUAUGCCAGGUCGCGAUGCCGUGGUCAAGGCCAGGAGGUGAGCGGCCCGAGGUCCAGUAAGAGCUCCUGAGGCACGAUGCUCAAGAGGUCCCCUUUAGCGCGCAAGCAGCCACCGAGAGGUAGGAAAGGGAGGCGGCGUUGCCGUAACAAGGCUGCAACAAGUGAGAAUCCUAUGCCAUAGCGCUUGGUCGACCCGGGCGUGAAACUUAUCUUGGCAGUCCAGAGUCGAUUCCUUGUGCUGUGCCAGACUCGUGCGUCGACUGCCGUAGUGUAGCUAGGUUAGGCCCGUGCGAGCCUCCCCCUCUUCUCCACGCUCUUCUAUGUGCUCUACGUCCUCAGGUCCCGGCCCUCGAGCGAGCUCAGCCACCGCUGGUAUGCCAGGUCGCGAUGCCGUGGUCAAGGCCAGGGGUGAGGGCUGGAGAGCCAGUAAGAGCUCCUGAGUCGCGAUGCUCAGGAGCCCCCCUUUUAACGCGCAACCGAAUUGCAUGGGAGAAGAGGGAGCCCGCGGUACCGCCUGCUGUUGUCCUCAGGAGGUUCCUGCAGGUUAGCGCGAGGAGGGACACAAAUUGCCACAGCGCUUGCCGGUCUGCCACUGGUCGUUCCACGAGAAGAUGAAGGCACUGAGGGCCUAGUGAGGUGACGUGCGCGGGGCGUGCCGCAAGCCAGAGCUCGACCGCUCAGAUUUGCUAGCGUUGCAGGGACGGACCCAAGCACAAGCGCUGUGCCAGCAUGAGUAACCCCCGUUGCGGGAUGAGCAAGGGGCCGAUCGGCGACGCGAGCGGCCGCGAUGGGUGACAAUCAAGCAGGUGAUAACCAUAAUUCCUUAUGCAAGAAGACAGUCUAGCCUAGAUAAAUGCGAGAACGAUACAUGCCCCUGGGACGGACCCGAGCGACUUGGGGAUGAUGCAGCCCAAGGGGCGCCCCCAACAGAGUAAGCUAAAGACGUAGAAGGACACAUGGCGCAGGGGCAAGCCCGUGUGACCUGGGAAUAGUGCAGCCCGAGGGGCGCUCCCAGUUAAACAAACUUGGAAAACAUCACCUGGUUCCGUUGUCGAAGGAUUGUUGAAGUAGCCGAAUGCGCGUGGUGAAGGGGCCGCUCCUCAUGAGUCGCCUGGGCCCUGAGCCUCGGGAGGCUCUGGGGGCUCAGGUGAUUCCUUGAGGACCGUCGUCAUCUCCGCCAAGACUGCGUGGUGCCUGGCCUCCUGAGUCGCCAGGAUGCUUUGUAGGUUGCGUUGGAAGGCGGCUGCCACGCUCGGCAGGCCGAAUGGCAUGCGAACAUAGCUGUGAGGUGGGCCCUCGCAACGCCCAAACUCGCGAAGGCCAAAAGCGCUCCUGAGAUGCGGCCCGGUUGAGUCCCGGAAUAUCGACGCAGACGCGUAGCCCUCCGUCCUCGCCAGGAUGGGGAGCUGCGUCUGGUGGUGGGCGGCGGUCGCCGCGCAUGGCUCUUGCAUUCUGUAGCUCCUGAGUGGUCUUGGUGAUGAACUCCUGAGCACCAGGCGCUCCUUGCCCUGCGCUCCCCUGGGGGAAACACGCGGCAAAGCACGCCUCCACAUGGUGCCCGAGCGCCUCCCUCAUGACAUUGGCUAGGUCUGGGACCCUCCAGGAGAGAGCCCCCUAGCCCAGCCUGAGGAGGGCGCCGGGCGCGCCUUCCUAUGCGAGGGAGGGAGGUGCCCCAGGUGCGGGCGCUGACCCUGAUGUGGCGCCGCCAGAGACGCCGCUCCCCUGAGGCCCUGUGCGGAGUAGUUGCUUCUUCUUGGGGACGGCCUCAGGAGGGUACUGCACGCCAUCGUUGUCGGGGUCUUUGAUUGCUGCGGCUUGGAAGGCGCGCUCGAGGGAGCACACCGCAUCUCUUUCUUCGCAGGGGACUGUGAUGAUCCCGCCGCUUCCUGGCAUCUUGAGGACGUUGUAGCCGUGGUGGGUCACUGCCAUGAACUUGGCCAGGGCUGGAUACCCGAGGAUGGCAUUGUACGGCAUACAGAUGUGGGCGACGUCGAAGUCGAUGAGCUCGGUGCGGUAGUUGUCGCGCUGGCCGAAGGUGACAGGGAGGCAGACUUGCCCUAUCGGGGUGGUGGAGCCGUCGGUCACUCCUGAGAAGGGCUUGGUGGGCUGUAGGUGAUCGUAUGGUACUUGGAGGCUGUCGAAUGUCUCGACGGAUAGGAUGUUAAGCCCUGCGCCGCCGUCGAUGAGGGUCUUGGUGACUUGUACGUUGCUGAUGACGGGCGAGCAGAGCAUCGGGAGGGCGCCUGCAGUGGCCGCGCAUUUGAGCUGGUCCGCCGAGCUGAAGGUGAUGGCGCACUUGGACCACCUGAGCGGGCAUGUGGCCUCGAGCCUGGGAAGGGUUGCGUUCACCUCGCGAGCAAACUGCUUGAAGAUACGCUGAGAUGCUGGGGCCUGAGCUUCGCCCAAGAUGCAGGCGAUAGCACGUGAUUCCUGGAAGCCCCCAGCCCCCUCGUCCUGAUGAUGGUCAUCGUUCCUUCUUGGCGGUGGCGGCAGUGGAGGGAGACCAGCAUUGCCCUGAGGGCGGUCCUCGCAAGGCUGAUCCCUCCAUGCGCCCUCACGAGGCUGGUCCUGCCAGCGGUCCUCGCGAGGCCGGUCGCGCCACUCCUGGCGGGGGCCGCGAUCGUCCCAGCGUCCUCUGCCUCCUCCUCCUCCUCGGCCAUAGCCCCGGUCGUUGCGCUCGGGGAGUCGGCCGAAGCGUCCAUCUCGAAUGGCCCUGAGCUCUUGACAGUCAUUGGUGUUGUGACUGUGUACGUUGUGGAAGGCGCAAAACGCACGACUGCUCUUGGACGACUCGGGGUGGUCCCAGCCGCGCUUCGUGUCUGGCUUUGCCACGAGCACGGCCACCCCCUUGCGCUUCACGUCCUUGGCCUUGGCUUUCUUCUCCUCUGGAUCGAUAGCAGGGAGCUCGAGGAGGGAAAGGCGCCCUUCCUCAGCUCUUGCGCACUUGGUCGCCAUGUUGAACAGCUCCAGAGCCGUGCAUAACUCCUCGUGGAUGGUGAGCUUCUCCUUCAUCUUGACGUCGCGGACGCCAUCAGAAAACGCCAAAAUGAUGGCCUCAUCCGUCACCUUGGGGAUCUUGAGACGAACGCUAUUGACGCGCUGGAUGUACUUCUGCAAGGUCUCUCCUGGCUGUUGCUUGAUGCGGCGCAGGUCACCCGCGGCCGGAGGGCGGUCGCGAGUGCCCUGGAAGUUGGCCACGAAGCAGUCACGCAUCUCACCCCAGGAGGACAUCGACCCCGGGGCAGGUUCAGGAGCCACGAGCGAGCACUGUCUUUGAGAGCCAUGGGGAACCAGUUCACCAUGACUUUCUCGUCGCCGCUGGCUGCCUCGAUGCUUAGCUCGUAGAGCUGCAAGAACUCCGCAGGGUCGGGGGUGCCGUCGUAGCAAGGAGGGAGGUCUGGCUUGAACUUGCCCGGUCAGACGAAGCUAUGCAGCUCUGGGGUGAAAGCGCGGCAGCCUGCUGUGGCCACCGGGGCCCGUUGGGGAGGCGGGGCCUGCCCUUGGUGUCCGCGCACCGCCGCUGCGGGCGGCACGCGGUCUUGUCGCAGUGGCGCCGGAAGCGCAGGAGCGUUUUCUUGCGGCCGGGGAACUUCUUGGCAGCUUCCUUCUUCUCGCGCGGGCGCCCGACACAAUGGGUCACGCCGGGGGCCGCGCGCCUUGGCGCUAGAGCGCCGUAUUGGUGCAGAGGUGGUGGAGGUGCUCCGUGAGCUACGUCGCCCGCAGCUGGUGGAGGGCGAGGCAGCAAGAGGGACGGUGCGGGAGAGCCCCCAACAGCACCGACGAGCUCGGCAAGGCGGUCCAACCAAUCCUCGUAGAGGUCGUCGACCGGGCGGUAGCGCAGGAGCUCACGUGCCAUCAGCAGUGUGGCCUGCGUGUCCAUGGGAGCGCGACGAGCGUGAGACGAUGAGCCGGCUGGGGUUAGCGACGGAGUGGCAGUGCAGCCGUCCUGCCGCACAGAGGGGUGCAGCGAGGACGCUUGCUGCUCGUUUCCCGCCGGGCCGGUGGCGAGGUUGGCGGCGGGUGACGGGGAACGUCGGGGAGGCCCGCCGACAGGAGCUGUCUGAGCGACACAGGUUGCGAGGGCGGCCCGGCGCUCGGCGCGGGCUCGACGCGCGUCCGCCAUGGAUGUGGUGGAGCGAUAGAACGUGGAUCGGCGGAAGGAAAGCUUUAGCGCACCCCUACCUGGCGCGCCAAAUGUCGGAUUUCGGGUUCCGGCAAAACCCUUGAGGUUCGAACUCUGGGGUGCGCACAAAGAUCUCUCCUCCUUCUAGCUCACGCCCUCACCGCGAUCUCAAGGCUCAGCACGACGAACUCACAGAACAAGAGACACAAGGUUUAUACUGGUUCGGGCCACUGAUGUGGUGUAAUACCCUACUCUAGUGUGGUGUGGUGGAUUGCCUCUUGGGCUGAGGAUGAACAGUUACAAGGGAAGAACAACCUCCUGAGGAGAGGUGCUCUUGUGCUUGGUGAGCUUGUGCAGAUGAGGAUGAUCUGAAUGGUCUCUCUCUCCUACUGUGGUGGCUAGUCCUAUUUAUAGAGCCCUGGUCCUCUCCCCAAAUGUUAGGCGGGAAGGGAUCCAACAACGGCCAAAUUCAAAGGGGGACAACCAGCACAAGUUAUCCUGACUAAAGGUGGUCUUCGCCUGCCAAAGGCUCUGGUGGUGACGCCGUCUUGGGCUCCACGGUGAUCUCCGUCCUGCCAUCCUGCUGGUCUUGGUCUUGUUGCACCGUUAUGGAAAACUUUGCUUGAUGCCUCGGGACUCCUCGCCUACGCUUGCCUCUUUAGCACCAAAGAGGAAACGAGGACACUGUGCGCGCUGGUGCCCGCCUGGCCUUGGUCGUCAUGGCUUGCGUCACAAAAACCUCGCGAGGUGCCCCUCGCCUUGAUCUCUCCGCCCCUCGCGAGCCAGCCUGGUGAGGCUGCCCCUGAGGAGGUCUUACGUCGUCCGCCUCGCGAGGCUUCGCCCCUCGCCAGGGUCUUGAGCGUUGGCUGAUGAAGAUAGGAUGUACGGGGCCGUUGGUGGAGCCACGCCGUGGCCGCAGGCAGGCAAGUCUGGGGACCCCCGUUCUCAGGACGCCGACAGUAGGGUAGGUAAGAUUAGGUAGGUGCCGAGAAGUUUCGGUCGUCUUGACGAAGUGGAGACUUAGGGUAAGGUUAGGUAGGUGACGAGAAGGUUCAAUCGUCUUGAUGAAGCGAGAUUUAGGGUAAGGUUAGGUAGGGUUAGGUAGGUGUCGAGAAGGUUCAAUCGUCUCAAUGAAGCGAGACUUAGGGUAAAGUUGGGUAGGGUUAGGUAGGUGUCGAGAAGGUUUAGUCUUCUUAGUGGAACCAGACUUAGGGUAAGGUUAUGUAUGAUUUUGUCAUAUAUGCUUUUGUCAUAUAUAUGAUUUUGUCACAUAUGCUUUUGUCAUAUAUAAUUCUUUCUAUUUAGUGCUAACAUUUUUUUCUCUUUUGUAGGGAUUAAUUAAAAUAAUGAGAGAUUACUUACCUAGGGCGCAACAUAGGAUGUAUUCUAGGCAUAUAUAUGCCAAUUGGAGAAAGAAGCAUAGGGCUAUGAGUCGCAAAAAAGAUUCUAAGCAAUGCCAAGGCUAGUAACAGGAAGAAUUUCAACUACAACAAGGCCAAUCUAGCAUAGAAUUGUUGGAAAUAUGCCCUAGAGGCAAUAAUAAAAUGGUUAUUAUUGUAUUUCCUUGUUCAUGAUAAUUGUCUAUUGUUCAUGCUAUAAUUGUAUUAACUGGAAACCGUAAUACAUGUGUGAAUACAUAGACCACAACAUGUCCCUAGUAAGCCUCUAGUUGACUAGCUCGUUGAUCAAUAGAUGGUUAUGGUUUCCUGACCAUGGACAUUGGAUGUCAUUGAUAACAGGAUCACAUCAUUAGGAGAAUGAUGUGAUGGACAAGACCCAAUCCUAAGCAUAGCACAAGAUCGUGUAGUUCGUUUGCUAGAGCUUUUCUAAUGUCAAGUAUCAUUUCCUUAGACCAUGAGAUUGUGCAACUCCUGGAUACCGUAGGAAUGCUUUGGGUGUACCAAACAUCACAACGUAAUUGGGUGGCUAUAAAGGUGCACUACAGGUAUCUCCGAAAGUGUCUGUUGGGUUGGCACGAAUCGAGACUGGGAUUUGUCACUCCGUAUGACAGAGAGGUAUAUCUGGGCCCACUCGGUAAUGCAUCAUCAUAAUGAGCUCAAUGUGACUAAUGAGUUAGCCACGGGAUCAUGCGUUACAGAACGAGUAAAGAGACUUGCCGGUAACGAGAUUGAACGAGGUAUUGGGAUACCGACGAUCGAAUCUCGGGCAAGUAACAUACCGAUAGACAAAGGGAAUUGUAUACGGGAUUGAUUGAAUCCCCGACAUCGUAGUUCAUCCGAUGAGAUCAUCGUGGAACAUGUGGGAGCCAAUAUGGGUUUCCAGAUCCCGGUAUUGGUUAUUGGCCAGAGAGGUGUCUCGGUCAUGUCUGCAUGGUUCCCGAACCCGUAGGGUCUACACACUUAAGGUUCGGUGACGCUAGAGUUGUUAUGGGAAAUAGUAUGUGGUUACCGAAGGUUGUUCGGAGUCCCGGAUGAGAUCCCAGACAUGACGAGGAGCUCCAGAAUGGUCCGGAGGUGAAGAUCGGUAUAUUGGACGAAGGGUAUUUGAGUCCGCAAUUGUUCCAAGGGUACCAUGCUAUGGCCAGCAUGUCCGAAAGGGGUUUCGGAGGCCCCGGCAAGCGUUGGGGGGGCCUUAUGGGCCAAGGGGAAGGGGCAAACCAUCCCACUAAGGGGUUGUGCGCCCCUCCCAACCCCUCUCACGUAACCAGGAGAGGUGGGGGCGCCACCCCUAGGGCAGCCGCCCUCCCGGCUUGGGGGGCAAGUUUCCUAGGGGGUGGGGGCGCCCAAACCCAUCUAGGGUUUCCCCUGGCCGCCGCCUCCUCCUCUAGAUCCAUCUAGAGGGGCCGGCCCCCUCUCCCCUUCCCCCUAUAUAUAGUGAGGGGGUGGGAGGGCAGCCAUACCCUUCCCUUGGUGCAGCCCCCUUCCUCCUCAUACAUCUCCUCCUCCUCCGUAGUGCUUGGCGAAGCCCUGCCGGAGAACCACGAGCUCCAUUGCCACCAUGCCAUCGUGCUGCUGGAUUUCUCCCUCAACUUCUCCUCUCCCCUUGCUGGAUCAAGAAGGAGGAGACGUCCCCGGGCUGUACGUGUGUUGAACGCGGAGGCACCGUCCGUUCGGCGCUAGAUCAGAUCUUCUGCGAUUUGAAUCGCCGCGAGUACGACUCCAUCAACCGCGUUCUUGUAACGCUUCCGCUUAGCGAUCUUCAAGGGUAUGAAGAUGCACUCCCUCUCUCUCGUUGCUAGCAUCUCCUAGAUUGAUCUUGGUGACACGUAGGAAAAUUUUCAAUUAUUGCUACGUUCCCCAACAGUGGCAUCAUGAGCUAGGUCUAUGCGUAGAUUCUAUGCACGAGUAGAACACAAAGUAGUUGUGGGCGAUGAUUUGUUCAUUUUGCUUACCGUUACUAGUCUUAUCUUGAUUCGGCGGCAUUGUGGGAUGAAGCGGCCCGGACCGACCUUACACGUACUCUUACGUGAGACAGGUUCCACCGACUGACAUGCACUUGAUGCAUAAGGUGGCUAGCGGGUGUCUGUCUCUCCCACUUUAGUCGGAUCGGAUUCGAUGAAGAGGGUCCUUAUGAAGGGUAAAUAGAAAUUGGCAUAUCACCGUUGUGGCUUUUGCGUAGGUAAGAAACGUUCUUGCUAGAAACCCAUAGCAGCCACGUAAAACAUGCAACAACAAUUAGAGGACGUCUAACUUGUUUUUGCAGGGUAUGCUAUGUGAUGUGAUAUGGCCAAAAGGAUGUGAUGAAUUAUAUAUAUGUGAUGUAUGAGAUUGAUCAUGUUCUUGUAAUAUGAAUCACGACUUGCAUGUCUAUGAGUAUGACAACCAGCAGGAGCCAUAGGAGUUGUCUUAAUUUAUUAUAUGACCUGCGUGUCAAUGAAAAACGCCAUGUAAUUACUUUACUUUAUUGCUAACCGUUAGCCAUAGUAGUAGAAGUAAUAGUUGGCGAGACAACUUCAUGAAGACACGAUGAUGGAGAUCAUGGUGUCAUGCCGGUGACGAAGGUGAUCAUGCCGCGCCUCAAAGAUGGAGAUCAAAAGGCGCAAGAUGAUACUGGCCAUAUCAUGUCACUUUAUGAUUUGCAUGUGAUGUUUUUCAUGUUUACAUCUUAUUUGCUUAGAACGACGGUAGCAUAAAUAAGAUGAUCCCUCACUAAAAUUUCAAGAGAUGUGUUCCCCCUAACUGUGCACCGUUGCGAAGGUUCGUUGUUUCAAAGCACCACGUGAUGAUCGGGUGUGCUAGAUUCUAACGUUCGCAUACAACGGGUGUAAGCCAGAUUUACACAUGCAAAACACUUAGCUUGACUUGAUGAGCCUAGCAUGUACAGACAUGGCCUCGGAACACAAGAGACCAAAAGGUCGAACAUGAGUCGUAUAGUAGAUACGAUCAACAUGAAGAUGUUCACCGAUGAUGACUAGUCCGUCUCACGUGAUGAUCAGACACGGCCUAGUUGACUCGGAUCAUGUAUCACUUAGAUGAAUAGAGGGAUGUCUAUCUAAGUGGGAGUUCAUUAAAUAAUUAGAUGAACUUAAUUAUCAUGAACAUAGUCAAAAGGUCAUUGCAAAUUAUGUCAUAGCUUACGCUUUGGUUCUACUGUUUAAGAUAUGUUCCUAGUGAAAAUUUACUUGAAAGUUGAUAGUAGAAAUUAUGCGGACUGGGUCCGUAAACUGAGGAUUAUCCUCAUUGCUGCGCAGAAGGCUUAUGUCCUUAAUGCACCGCUCGGUGUGCUAAACCUCGAGCGUCGUCUGUGGAUGUUGCGAACAUCUGACAUACACGUUUUGAUGACUACGUGAUAGUUCAGUGCGUAAUGCUAACGGUUUAGAAUUGAGGCGCCAAAGACAGUUUUGAGACGUCGCAGAACAUAUGAGAUGUUCCAAAGACUGAAAUUGGGAUUUCAGACUAGUGCCCACGUCAAGAGGUAUGAGACCUCUGACAAGUUUCUUAAGCCUGCAAAGGGAGAAAAGCUCAAUCAUUGAGCAUGUGCUCAGAUUGUCUGAGUACUACAAUCGCUUGAAUCGAGUGGGAGUUAAUCUUCCAGAUGAGAUAGUGAUGGUUCUCCAUAGUCACUGCCACCAAGCUAUUAGAGCUUCGUGAUGAACUAUAACAUAUCAGGGACAGACAUGAUGAUCCUUGAGCAACUCGCGAUGUUUGACACCGCGAAAGUAGAAAUCAAGUAGGAGCAUCAAUUGUUGAUGGUUAGUAAAACCACUAGUUUCAAGAAGGGCAAGGGAAAGAAGGGAUACGUCAUGAAACGGCAAAUCAGUUGCUGCUCUAGUGAAGAAACCCAAGGUUGAACCCAAACCUGAGACUAAGUGCUUCUGUAAUGAGGGGAAUGGUCACUGAAGCAGAACUACCCUAGAUACUUGGUAGAUGAGAAGGCAGGCAAGAUCGACAGAAGUAUAUUGGAUAUACAUUAUAUUAAUGUGUACUUUACUGGUACUCCUAGUAGCACUAGGGUAUUAGAUACCGGUUCGGUUGCUAAGUGUUGGUAACUCGAAAUAAAAGGCUACGGAAUAAAUGGAGACUAGCUAAAGGUGAGAUGAUGAUAUGUGUUGGAAGUGUUUCCAAGGUUGAUGUAAUCAAACAUCGUACGCUCCCUCUAUCAUCGGGAUUGGUAUUAAAUCUAAAUAAUUGUUAUUUGGUGUUUGCGUUGAGCAUAGACAUGAUUGGAUUAUGUUUAUCGCAAUACGGUUAUUCAUUUAAGGAGAAUAAUGGUUACUCUAUUUAUUUGAAUAAUACCUUCAAUGGUCUUGCACCUAAAAUGAAUGGUUUAUUGAAUCUCGAUCGUAGUGAUACACAUGUUCAUGCCAAAAGAUAUAAAAUAGUAAUGAUAGUACCACAUACUUGUGGCACUGCCAUUUGAGUCAUAUUGGUAUAAAACGCAUGAAGAAGCUCCAUGUUGAUGGAUCUUUGGACUCACUCGUUUUUGAAAAGAUUGAGACAUGUGAACCAUGUCUAUUGGUAGAUAUGCAUGAAGAAACUCCAUACAGAUGGAUCAUUUGGUCUCACUUGAUUUUGAAUCACUUGAGACAUGCAAAUCAUAACACAUGGGCAAGAUGACUGAAAGGCCUCGUUUUCAGUAAGAUGGAACAAGAAAGCAACUUGUUGGAAGUAAUACAUUUUGAUGUGCGUAGUCCAAUGAGUGCUGAGGCACGCAGUGGAUAUCGUUAUGUUCUUACUUCAUAGAUGAUUUGAGUACAUGCUGUGUAUAUUUACUUGAUGAAACACAAGUCUGAAUUAUUGAAAGGUUCAAGUAAUUUCAGAGUGAAGUUGAAGAUCGUCGUGACAAGAGGAUAAAAUGUCUGUGAUAUGAUCAUAGAGAUGAAUAUCUGAGUUACGAGUUUGGCACACAAUUAAGACAUUGUGGAAAUUGUUUCACAACUAAUACUGCCUGGAACACCAUAGUGUGAUGGCGUGUCCGAACAUCAUAACUGCACCCUAUUGGAUAUGGUGCAUACCAUGAUGUCUCUUAUCGAAUUACCGCUAUCGUUUAUGGGCUAGGCAUUAGAGACAACCGCAUUCACUUUAAAUAGGCCACCAAGCAAUUCCAUUGAGACGACACCGUAUGAACUAUGGUUUAGAGAAACCUAAGCUGUCGUUUCUUAAAAGUUUGGGGCUGCGACGCUUAUGUGAAAAAGUUUCAGGCUGAUAAGCUCAAACCCAAAGCGGAUAAAUGCAUCUUCAUAGAAUACCCAAAACAAUUGGGUAUACCUCCUAUUUCAGAUCAGGAAGCAAAAGUGAUUGUUUCUAGAAAUGGGUCCUUUCUCGAGGAAAAGUUUCUCUCGAAAGAAUUGAGUGGGAGGAUGGUGGAGACUUGAUGAGGUUAUUGAACCAUGACUUCAACUAGUGUGUAGUAGGGCACAUGAAGUUGUUCCUAUGGCACCUACACCAAUUGAAGUGGAAGCUUAUGAUAGUGAUCAUGAAACUUCGGACCAAGUCACUACCAAACCUCGUAGGUCGACAAGGAUGCGUACUACUUCAGAGUGGUACGUAAUCCUGUCUUGGAAGUCAUGUUGCUAGACAACAAUGAACCUACGAGCUAUGGAGAAGCGAUGGUGGGCCCAGAUUCCGACGAAUGGCUCGAGGCCAUAAAAUCCGAGAAAGGAUCCAUGUAUAAAAACAAAGUAUAGACUUUGGAAGAACUACUUGAUGGUCGUAAGGCUGUUGGGUGCAGUUGGAUUUUAAAAGGAAGACGGACAAUGAUGGUAAGUGUCACCAUUAAGAAAGCUCGACUUGUCGUUAAGAUGUUUUCCGACAAGUUCAAGGAGUUGUCUACGAUGAGACUUUCUCACUCGUAGCGAUGCUAAGAGUCUGUUGGAAUUAUAUUAGCAGUUACUGCAUUAUUUAUGAAAUCUUGCAGAUAGGAUGUCAAAACAUUGUUUCCUCAACGAUUUUCUUGAGGAAAGGUUGUAUGUGAUACAACCAAAAGGUUUUGCAAUCCUGAAAUAUGCUAAUAAGUAUGCAAAGCUCCAGCUAUCCUUCUAAGGACUGGAGUAAGCAUCUCGGAGAUGGAAUGUACGCUUUGAUGAGAUGAUCAAAGAUUUUGGGUUUAUACAAAGUUUAUGAGAAACUUGUAUUUCCAAAAAAAAUGAGUGGGAGCACUAUAGAUUUUUGAUGAGUAUAUGUUGUUAACAUAUUGUUGAUCAGAAAUGAUGUAGAAUUUCUGGAAAGCAUACAGGGUUAUUUGAAAAGUGUUUUUCAAUGGAAAACCUGGAUUAAGCUACUUGAACGUUGAGCAUCAAGAUCUAUAAGGAUAGAUCAAAAACGCUUAAUAGUACUUUCAAAUGAAUACACACCGUGAAAAGAUUUUGAAGGAGUUCAAAAUAGAUCAGCAAAGAAAGAGUUCUUGGUUGUGUUACAAGGUGUGAGUAUUGAGUAAGACUCAAGACGUGACCACGGCAGAAGAGAGAGAGAAAGGACAAAGGUCAUCCCCUAUGCUUUAGACGUAGGCUCUACAGUAUGCUAUGCUGUGUACCGCACCUGAAGUGUGCCUUGCCAUGAGUUAGUCAAGGGGUACAAUAGUGAUCCAGGAAUGGAUCACAUGACAACGGUCGAACUUAUCCUUAGUAACUAGUGGACUAAGGAAUUUUCUCGAUUAUGGAGCUGGUAAAAGAGUUCAUCAUAAAGGGUUACGUCGAUGCAAACUUUGACACUAAUCCGGAUGACUCUGAGUAGUAAACUGGAUUCGUAUAGUAGAGCGGUUAUUUGGAAUAGCUCCAAGUAGCGCGUGGUAGCUGCAUCUACAAGAUGACAUAGAGAUUUGUAAAGCACACAUGGAUCUGAAAGGUUCUUGACUAAUAACCUCUCUCACAAGCGAGAUAUGAACAAACCCCAAGGGUGUUGGAUUCAUUACAAUCACAUAGUGAUGUGAACUAGAUUAUUGACUCUAGUGCAAGUGGGAGACUGUUGGAAAUAUGCCCUAGAGGCAAUAAUAAAAUGGUUAUUAUUGUAUUUCCUUGUUCAUGAUAAUUGUCUAUUGUUCAUGCUAUAAUUGUAUUAACUGGAAACCGUAAUAGAUGUGUGAAUACAUAGACCACAACAUGUACCUAGUAAGCCUCUAGUUGACUAGCUCGUUGAUCAAUAGAUGGUUAUGGUUUCCUGACCAUGGACAUUGGACGUCAUUGAUAACGGGAUCACAUCAUUAGGAGAAUGAUGUGAUGGACAAGACCCAAUCCUAAGCAUAGCACAAGAUCGUGUAGUUCGUUUGCUAGAGCUUUUCUAAUGUCAAGUAUCAUUUCCUUAGACCAUGAGAUUGUGCAACUCCUGGAUACCGUAGGAAUGCUUUGGGUGUACCAAACAUCACAACGUAACUGGGUGGCUAUAAAGGUGCACUACAGGUAUCUACGAAAGUGUCUGUUGGGUUGGCACGAAUCGAGACUGGGAUUUUUCACUCCGUAUGACGGAGAGGUAUCUCUGGGCCCACUCGGUAAUGCAUCAUCAUAAUGAGCUCAAUGUGACUAAUGAGUUAGCCACGGGAUCAUGCGUUACAGAACGAGUAAAGAGACUUGCCGGUAACGAGAUUGAACGAGGUAUUGGGAUACUGACGAUGGAAUCUCAGGCAAGUAACAUACCGAUAGACAAAGGGAAUUGUAUACGGGAUUGAUUGAAUCCCCGACAUCGUGGUUCAUUCGAUGAGAUCAUCGUGGAACAUGUGGGAGCCAUUAUGGGUAUCCAGAUCCCGCUAUUGGUUAUUCGCCGGAGAGGUGUCUCGGUCAUGUGUGCAUGGUUCCCGAACCCGUAGGGUCUACACACUUAAGGUUCGGUGACGCUAGAGUUGUUAUGGGAAAUAGUAUGUGGUUACCGAAGGUUGUUCGGAGUCCCGGAUGAGAUCCCGGACAUGACGAGGAGCUCCGGAAUGGUCCGGAGGUGAAGAUCGGUAUAUUGGACAAAGGGUAUUGGAGUCCGGAAUUGUUCCGGGGGUACCAGGCUAUGGCCAGCAUGUCCGAAAGGGGUUUCGGAGGCCCCGGCAAGCGUUGGGGGGCCUUAUGGGCCAAGGGGAAGGGGCAAACCAGCCCACUAAGGGGCCGUGCGCCCCUCCCAACCCCUCUCACAUAACCAGGAGAGGUGGGGGCGCCACCCCUAGGGCAGCCGCCCCUCCCGGCUUGGGGGCAAGUUUCCUAGGGGGUGGGGGCGCCCAAACCCAUCUAGGGUUUCCCCUGGCCGCCGCCUCCUCCUCUAGAUCCAUCUAGAGGGGCCGGCCCCCUCUCCCCUUCCCCCUAUAUAUAGUGAGGGGGUGGGAGGGCAGCCAUACCCUUCCCUUGGCGCAGCCCCCUUCCUCCUCAUACAUCUCCUCCUCCUCCGUAGUGCUUGGCGAAGCCCUGCCGGAGAACCACGAGCUCCAUUGGCACCAUGCCGUCGUGCUGCUGGAGUUCUCCCUCAACUUCUCCUCUCCCCUUGCUGGAUCAAGAAGGAGGAGACGUCCCCGGGCUGUACGUGUGUUGAACGCGGAGGCGCCGUCCGUUCGGCGCUAGAUCGGAUCUUCUGUGAUUUGAAUCGCCACGAGUACGACUCCAUCAACUGCGUUCUUGUAACGCUUCCGCUUAGCGAUCUUCAAGGGUAUGAAGAUGCACUCCUUCUCUCUCGUUGCUAGCAUCUCCUAGAUUGAUCUUGGUGACACGUAGGAAAAUUUUGAAUUAUUGCUACGUUCCCCAACAAGAAUACCCUUGAAGGUGCACAUGACAUCAUGAGGACAGAGCCAAAGCAUUAGGCUAGGGCUUUUUUUCACUUGGUUCAAAUUGUGAGUCAGUUGACAACAACCUAUGUGAGUCUUCCAAUAAUGCCAUUACAGAAGGAAGGUACUUCCCAAUCAUUUCAUAGCAAGAUAAGAUAACAAAGAAAUUGCUUAUCAGAGUUCAAGAGUAGAGAACCAAAAGUGCUAACUGGAAAGGAAUAAUUUUCUCUAACAUAUUUAAGAAACUAAAGGUCAGUAUUGCAAGGACAAGAUAUCUUGAGUUGCUUUGGAAUGGAAAGGAUGGAUUUGAGGUCAAGCAUAUGCAAGGAAGAGCCAAGAGACACGUAGUCAACCUGGACAAAUGGACAUGUUCAUGUGGAUAUUUUCAGCUAGAAGGCCUUCCAUGCUCUCAUGACAACAGUGUUAUCUAAAAGAGUGGAGAAAAUAUAGAUGAUUUCAUUCACAAGUGCUACUACAUUAAAACAUUCAAGAAGAUAUAUGAGAACUACCUUCAACCAAUAGAGGAUGAAGAAAACUAGCCAGUUUCUCAAAAUCCUAGGACAGUGACACCUAGGUAUAUUGCCAUGCCAAGAGCAAGGAAGAAAUUGGCAGGAAAUGACAGGAGGAGAGAAGAGGGAGAAGCACCCAAUGGGAAGAAGUUGAGCGAGCAUGGCAUUGAGGUCACUUGUGGAUUUUGUAAGUCCGAGGGACACAACAAAGGUUCUUGUCAUCAUAAUCCAAAUAGGAACAAAAAAGCAAAGGCAUUUCUUGUCAAGAAAAGAAAAAAACUUCGGGAAGCAGAUUAAUUUAUUGGCCAAUUUACUAUGAACAAUAGAACUGUAUGCUCUGUUUCUGCAAUAAGCAAUUGAUCUUUCUUUUCUCUUUUCUUUGCUCUAUUCUAACCGUAAUGCAUGAAGCACAUACUGAAGCAUUGAAAAGAAGGACCGCAACAAACACUGUGCCCGCAACAAACAUUCAACUUGUAACAAGGACAAAAGCUACUCAAAGUUCUCAACAUGCAUUAGCCUCAAGCUCUCAACCUACAACCACAAGCUUUAGACCUCCUAGAGGUACCAAAAGUUCUGCAACAACUACAAAUGUUGCACCUGGAGGAAGCACAUCUACUGGCAGGGGCUGAGUAGCAAACAGAGGGAGAGGAGGUACAAAUGAUGAACCUGGAGGAGGAACAUCUAUUGGCUGGGCAGAGGAGCAAAGAGAGGCACACGAGGGUACAUGUCCUACUUCACAACAAGUGAAAACUACUGAAGUUGUUCCUUUGAAUGUUAUUUUGGUUAUGUGGAUCAAAUCAUGUGAAUUUGUGGUCAUAUUGGAUGUGAAGCUACUAGUUAUUUUGACUGUCGCUUGUCCCCGAACUUGUGGUUAUGUUGGAUGUGAACCAGUUGGUUAUGUGUAAUGUAGUGUUAAUUAAUUGGUCUUUAUGUGUGAUCUUAGGAAAUCUCCAAUGUUGACCCUCAAACAGCCCGCGUCUGGACCGCGUGGUCCGGACCCCGGAAGCCAUCCGAGGUGUUCCUGCAUCGGUCCACUCGGCGGUCCGGACACACUUUUUCCCACAAACCAGAGAGAAAAUAGGGGGGCAUCAAGACCGCAGCAACGCUCGCUCCUAACUACCCUGGCCCACCAAAAACCCUCCUCCUUCACUCGAGUGAGUUCCCAACCUACGCCAGACGCCCGCAUACAGCAGAGCAGUCGCUCCGCAUUGACGCAGGCCUAGAGCGGAUGCGACCUCUCACUGGCGCCAGCACUGAAGCAGCGCGUCGGUCGAGAGCGCCGCCCAUGAAACGUUUACUGUACGGGACCCUUCAAUGCCCGUUUGUCCGUAUGCUGCCAUUAAGCAGGCUCACUGACAGAGGAACCAACUCUGGCGCCAUGCAUUGACGCACCCGGACGCUUGGCCUCACCGGAAUUCGGUAUUUAAGGGUGGUCACACCCGACUAAACUCCACACCACAACAUAUCCACUCCACAUCCUCCUCCCUUGCACCACAUCCACCAUGACCGCGAAUGGGAACACUCUAUGGGAGAGCCUGUCAAUGGAGAUGAAGAACGAGAUCGCCGCCCUUGUAGCCACCAGGCAGAGCCAUUGUGCCAGGAGGAUCGAGGCCGGCAUGCCGACCAACUCCCCCGAGCUCCCCAACGAUGACUCGACAAUGGAGACGAGGUCUCACGACGACACUGUGCCAGAGACAGUGUCGGUGCAUGCCGACUUGACCAUGAAGCAGGGGCAGGUGCACUACAAUGCCGCAAUGGUGGAUGAGGAGCAGCCUGCGCCAGCUCCUAUGUUGGUGUUCCGGCAGGCGCAGGAGGAGAAGAGGUACAACAUGCUCAUCCUCGAGUAACACCAGCUGGUCGAGGGCCAAAUCUACACAAGCGUGCAAGCGAGGAGGCCAUGGCCACAACAAACCUAAACUUUGUUGCGGAGCAGCUGACGCUCUACAAGGCUGCGCGUGCUCAACCUGCCGCUUGCAAUAUAAUGAAAAAUGUUUCAAAUGUGAUGAAUUUUGUCCGGUUUAUAUGAACCAUCAUGUUUGCACGAAUUUCGUCCGGUUAGUUGAAACCCGGCUUGAAAUGUAUGCGGGCAUCGUUGGAUGGCCGGCUCUCGCUUCAUGUCCGCGGACUGCCGCCCUGUUCGCGGACAGAUGCGGGAGAAAAUUUACGGGUCAAUGUUUGAGAUGCUCUUAGUCUCUAUAAAUUUCUUGUUAUUUUGUUGUCUUAUGAAGAUGAUCUAUAUGACUGCUGUCAAGUAGUUAGCACUGAUUUUGGCAGCAACCUAUGAACAUGAUUUUGACAACAAGAUGUCAAAAUGAUCUAUACGACUAAUGUGAAGUAGACAACACUGAUCUUCACGGCAAGAUAUGAACGUUUUUUGACAUCAAGCUGUGAAGAUGUGUAAAAAAUGACAUUGCACACAACCAUAUUUCCAAAUACACAAAUCACACAAGUGGCACUACAUACCUCAUGUCAAGAUUUUGAAACUGAAUUGCAUUCAAAUACAUUACAUUGCUACAUACGAUUGCCUGAAAUUCAUUACUAACAGAUUCACUAGCCUAACAUCAUCCCCGCAACUAUACCAGACAUAAAUAUUAAAAUAUCACAAUGCCAUAAAAACAUUUUUUUCUAACACGUCUCUCACUAACCGAUGCAAUUUCUUCAUUUACUUUCAUCAUCACUACAUCACCGAAAGCUGCAACACCAGAAGCUCCUUCACUUAAAAAUGCAACAACAUCUGCCUCCAGCUUCCACAGUCUAUCUCAAAGAUCUCCCAACAAUCCACGCACAAAUGGAGUUGUAGGCCCAUCAUGCUAGUCAAUGAAGCCAUGCCGUUCAAUUCAUGCAAUUUUUCUCAAACGGAAUAACAAGAAACAAAGCACAUCAGAGGAACAAGGCAGAGCGUAAGAAAAAAUCAGAGCAUACCUGAGCUUCAACGCAUGCAUAGUACCUCCUUCGAGGGUUCGUCGGACUCCAGGAAAUCCAACGCAAUGUCUUCUUCCCACAGCGGGGGCAGUAAAUUGCUGGCUUCUCCCGAUAGGGCACCGACGACCUUGCUGCUUCGCAUCUCCGACGAAUCCCUCCGCCGUGGAAACACGGAUGAAACAAACAACACCGACGACAAUGUUGCUUUCGCUGCCAAGUGCCUGCCAAUUGUCGCUCUCUUCCCCUCGCGUGAACCUUAAUUUGGUUCCCAUCUCGCGUUUGAAAAUAUGUGGCCCAACCGAUGCAGCAUUUCAAGUUAGCAAUCCUACCAUCCCAUGGUGCCAUGUCCGCUGAUCCCCUCCUAGGAUUCAAAACAGUCUUCACUCUAUUUAUUGAGACGCUCCUUUUUUCGAAAAGGAGGAUUACCCCCCGCCUCUGCAUCACCAUGAUGCACACAACCAUCUUUAUUAAAUAUUCACCAGAGUCUGACAAAACUAAUACAAGGAUCAACCCGAGGCCUUCUUCUAGGCGAACAAAGUCGCUACUAUUGGAAAUAUGCCCUAGAGGCAAUAAUAAAAUGGUUAUUAUUGUAUUUCCUUGUUCAUGAUAAUUGUCUAUUGUUCAUGCUAUAAUUGUAUUAACUGGAAACCGUAAUACAUGUGUGAAUACAUAGACCACAACAUGUCCCUAGUAAGCCUCUAGUUGACUAGCUCGUUGAUCAAUAGAUGGUUACGGUUUCCUGACCAUGGACAUUGGAUGUCAUUGAUAACGGGAUCACAUCAUUAGGAGAAUGAUGUGAUGGACAAGACCCAAUCCUAAGCAUAGCACAAGAUCGUGUAGUUCGUUUGCUAAGAGCUUUUCUAAUGUCAAGUAUCGUUUCCUUAGACCAUGAGAUUGUGCAACUCCCGGAUACCGUAGGAAUGCUUUGGGUGUACCAAACGUCACAACGUAACUGGGUGGCUAUAAAGGUGCACUACAGGUAUCUCCGAAAGUUUCUGUUGGGUUGGCACGAAUCGAGACUGGGAUUUGUCACUCCGUAUGACGGAGAGGUAUCUCUGGGCCCACUCGGUAAUGCAUCAUCACAAUGAGCUCAAUGUGACUAAUGAGUUAGCCACGGGAUCAUGCGUUACGGAACGAGUAAAGUGACUUGCCGGUAACGAGAUUGAACGAGGUAUUGGGAUACCGACGAUCGAAUCUCGGGCAAGUAACAUACCGAUUGACAAAGGGAAUUGUAUAUGGGAUUGAUUGAAUCCCCGACAUCGUGGUUCAUCCGAUGAGAUCAUCGUGGAACAUGUGGGAGCCAACAUGGGUAUCCAGAUCCCUCUGUUGGUUAUUGGCCGGAGAACGUCUCGGUCAUGUCUGCAUGGUUCCCGAACCCGUAGGGUCUACACACUUAAGGUUCAGUGACGCUAGAGUUGUUAUGGGAAUUAGUAUGUGGUUACCGAAGGUUGUUCGGAGUCCCGGAUGAGAUCCCGGACGUCACGAGGAGUUCCGAAAUGGUCCGGAGGUAAAGAUUUAUAUAUGGGAAGUCAUCAUACGGUCACCGGAAGUGUUCGGGGGUAUGCCGGUAUUGUACCGGGGCCACCGAAGGGGUUCCGAGGGUCCACCGGGAGGGUCCACCUGCCCUGGAGGGCCUUAUGGGCUGUAGGUGGAAGGGAACCAGCCCCUAAGUGGGCUGGGCACCAACCUCCCCCUAGGGCCCAUGCGCCUAGGGUUGGGGGAAACCCUGGAGGGGGCGCCCCCCUUGACUUGGGGGGCAAGCCACCCUCCCUGGCCGCCGCCCCUCCCACCAGAUGGGAUCUGAGGGGGCCGGCCCCCCUCUCCCUUGCCCCCAUAUAUAGUGGAGGGAUGGGACGGCAGCCAUACCUUUCCCAAGGCGCAGCCCUCUACUCCUCCAACUACUCCUCCUCCUCCGUAGUGCUUGGCGAAGCCCUGCCGGAGAACCACGAGCUCCAUUGCCACCACGCCGUCGUGCUGCUGGAGUUCUCCCUCAACUUCUCCUCUCCCCUUGCUGGAUCAAGAAGGAGGAGACGUCCCCGGGCUGUACGUGUGUUGAACGCGGAGGCACCGUCCGUUCGGCGCUAGAUCGGAUCUUCCGCGAUUUGAAUCGCCGCGAGUACGACUCCAUCAACCGCGUUCUUGUAACGCUUCCGCUUAGCGAUCUUCAAGGGUAUGAAGAUGCACUCCCUCUCUCUCGUUGCUAGCAUCUCCUAGAUUGAUCUUGGUGACACGUAGGAAAAUUUUGAAUUAUUGCUACGUUACCCAACAGUGGCAUCAUGAGCUAGGUCUAUGCAUAGAUUCUAUGCACGAGUAGAACACAAAGUAGUUGUGGGCGAUGAUUUGUUCAAUUUGCUUGCCGUUACUAGUAUUAUCUUGAUUCGGCGGCAUUGUGGGAUGAAGCAGCCCGGACCGACCUUACACGUACUCUUACGUGAGACAGGUUCCACCGACUGACAUGCACUUGAUGCAUAAGGUGGCUAGCGGGUGUCUGUCUCUCCCACUUUAGUCGGAUCGGAUUCGAUGAAGAGGGUCCUUAUGAAGGGUAAAUAGCAAUUGGCAUAUCACCGUUGUGGCUUUUGCGUAGGUAAGAAACGUUCUUGCUAGAAACCCAUAGCAGCCACGUAAAACAUGCAACAACAAUUAGAGGACGUCUAACUUGUUUUUGCAGGGUAUGCUAUGUGAUGUGAUAUGGCCAAAAGGAUGUGAUGAAUUAUAUAUAUGUGAUGUAUGAGAUUGAUCAUGUGCUUGUAAUAGGAAUCACGACUUGAUGUCGAUGAGUAUGACAACCGGCAGGAGCCAUAGGAGUUGUCUUAAUUUAUUGUAUGACCUGCGUGUCAAUGAAUAACGCCAUGUAAUUACUUUACUUUAUUGCUAACCAUUAGCCAUAGUAGUAGAAGUAAUAGUUGGCAAGACAACUUCAUGAAGACACGAUGAUGGAGAUCAUGAUGAUGGAGAUCAUGGUGUCAUGCAGGUGACGAAGGUGAUCAUGCCGCGCCUCGAAGAUGGAGAUCAAAGGCGCAAGAUGAUAUUGGCCAUAUCAUGUCACUUUAUGAUUUGCAUGUGAUGUUUGUCAUGUUUACAUCUUAUUUGCUUAGAACGACGGUAGCAUAAAUAAGAUGAUCCCUCACUAAAAUUUCAAGAGAUGUGUUCCCCCUAACUGUGCACCGUUGCGAAGGUUCGUUGUUUCGAAGCACCACGUGAUGAUCGGGUGUGAUAGAUUCUAACGUUCGCAUACAACGGGUGUAAGCCAGAUUUACACAUGCGAAACACUUAGGUUGACUUGACGAGCCUAGCAUGUACAGACAUGGCCUCGGAACACAAGAGACCGAAAGGUCGAACAUGAGUCGUAUAGUAGAUGCGAUCAACAUGGAGAUGUUCACCGAUGAUGACUAGUUCGUCUCACGUGAUGAUCGGACACGGCCUAGUUGACUCAGAUCAUGAAUCACUUAGAUGACUAGAGGGAUGUCUAUCUGAGUGGGAGUUCAUUAAAUAAUCAGAUGAACUUAAUUAUCAUGAACAUAGUCAAAAGGUCUUUGCAAAUUAUGUCGUAGCUUACGCUUUAGUUAUACUAAGAUAUGUUCCUAGAGAAAAUUUAGUUGAAAGUUGAUAGUAGCCAUUAUGCGGAUGGGUCUGUAAACUGAGGAUUGUCCUCAUUGCUACACAGAAGGCUUAUGUCCUUAAUGCACCGCUCGGUGUGCUGAACCUCGAGUGUGGUUUGUGGAUGUUGCGAACAUCUGACAUACACGUUUUGAUGACUACGUGAUAGUUCAGUGCGUAAUGCUAACGGUUUAGAAUUGAGGCUCCAAAGACGUUUUUGAAACGUCGCAGAACAUAUGAGAUGUUCCAAAGACUGAAAUUGGGAUUUCAGACUAGUGCCCACGUCAAGAGGUAUGAGACCUCUAACAAGUUUCUUAAGCCUGCAAACUAAGGGAGAAAAGCUCAAUCGUUGAGCAUGUGCUCAGAUUGUCUGAGUACUACAAUCGCUUGAAUCGAGUGGGAGUUAAUCUUCCAGAUGAGAUAGUGAUGGUUCUUCAUAGUCACUGCCACCAAGCUAUUAGAGCUUCGUGAUGAACUAUAACAUAUCAGGGAUAGACAUGAUAAUCCUUGAGCAACUCACGAUGUUUGACACCGUGAAAGUAGAAAUCAAGUAGGAGCAUCAAUUGUUGAUGGUUAGUAAAACCACUAGUUUCAAGAAGGGCAAGGGAAAGAAGGGAUACUUCAUGAAACGAAAAAUCAGUUGCUGCUCUAGUGAAGAAACCCAAGGUUGAACCCAAACCCGAGACUAAGUGCUUCUGUAAUGAGGGGAACGGUCACUGAAGCAGAACUACCCUAGAUACUUGGUAGAUGAGAAGGCUGGCAAGGUCGACAGAAGUAUAUUGGAUAUUCAUUAUAUUAAUGUGUACUUUACUAGUACUCCUAGUAGCGCCAGGGUAUUAGAUACCGGUUCGGUUGCUAAGUGUUGGUAACUCGAAAUAAAAGGCUACGGAAUAAACGGAGACUAGCUAAAGGUGAGAUGACGAUAUGUGUUGGAAGUGUUUCCAAGGUUGAUGUGAUCAAGCAUCACAUGCUCCCUCUACCAUCGAGAUUGGUGUUAAACCUAAAUAAUUGUUAUUUGGUGUUUGCGUUGAGCAUAGACAUGAUUGGAUUAUGUUUAUCGCAAUACGGUUAUUCAUUUAAGGAGAAUAAUGGUUACUCUGUCUAUUUGAAUAAUACCUUCAAUGGUCUUGCACCUAAAAUGAAUGGUUCAUUGAAUCUCGAUCGUAGUGAUACACAUGUUCAUGCCAAAAGAUAUAAGAUAGUACCACAUACUUGUGGCACUGCCACUUGAGUCAUAUUGGUAUAAAACGCAUGAAGAAGCUCCAUGUUGAUGGAUCUUUGGACUCACUCGUUUUUGAAAAGAUUGAGACAUGCGAACCAUGUCUAUUAGUAUAUAUGCAUGAAAAAAGUCCAUACAGAUGGAUCGUUUGGACUCACUUGAUUUUGAAUCACUUGAGACAUGCAAAUCAUACCACAUGGGCAAGAUGACUGAAAGGCCUCGUUUUCAGUAAGAUGGAACAAGAAAGCAACUUGUUGGAAGUAAUACAUUUUGAUGUGUGCAGUCCAAUGAGUGCUGAGGCACGCAGUGGAUAUCGUUAUGUUCUUACUUCACAGAUGAUUUGAGUAGAUGCUGAGAAUAUUUACUUGAUGAAACACAAGUCUGAAUUAUUGAAAGGUUCAAGUAAUUUCAGAGUGAAGUUGAAGAUCGUCGUGACAAGAGGAUAAAUGUCUAUGAUAUGAUCAUAGAGAUGAAUAUAUGAGUUACGAGUUUGGCACACAAUUAAGACAUUGUGGAAAUUGUUUCACAACUAAUACCGCCUGGAACACCAUAGUGUGAUGGUGUGUCCGAACAUCAUAACUGCACCCUAUUGGAUAUAGUGCAUACCAUGAUGUCUCUUAUCGAAUUACCACUAUCGUUUAUGGGUUAGGCAUUAGAGACAACCGCAUUCACUUUAAAGAGGGCACCACAUAAUUCCGUUGAGACGACACCGUAUGAACUAUGGUUUAGAGAAACCUAAGCUGUCAUUUCUUAAAAGUUUGGGGCUACGACGCUUAUGUGAAAAAGUUUCAGGCUGAUAAGCUCGAACCCAAAGCGGAUAAAUGCAUCUUCAUAGAAUACCCAAAACAGUUGGGUACACCUCCUAUUUCAGAUCCGGAAGCAAGGUGAUUGUUUCUAGAAACGGGUCCUUUCUCGAGGAAAAGUUUCUCUCGAAAGAAUUGAGUGGGAGGAUGGUGGAGACUUGAUGAGGUUAUUGAACCGUCACUUCAACUAGUGUGUAGCAGGGCACAAGAAGUUGUUCAUGUGGCACCUACACCAAUUGAACUGGAAGCUUAUGAUAGUGAUCAUGAAACUUCGGAUCAAGUCACUACCAAACCUCGUAGGACGACAAGGAUGCGUACUACUUCAGAGUGGUACGUAAUCCUGUCUUGGAAGUCAUGUUGCUAGACAACAAUGAACCUACGAGCUAUGGAGAAGCGAUGGUGGGCCCGGAUUCCGACGAAUGGCUCGAGGCCAUAAAAUCCGAGAGGAUCCAUGUAUGAAAACAAAGUAUAGACUUUGAAAUAACUACUUGAUGGUCGUAAGGCUGUUGGGUACAGAUGGAUUUUAAAAGGGAAGACAGACAAUGAUGGUAAGUAUCACCAUUACGAAAGCUCGACUUGUCGUUAAGAUGUUUUCCGACAAGUUCAAGGAGUUGAUUGCGAUGAGAUUUUCUCACUCGUAGCGAUGCUAAGAGUCUGUUGGAAUUAUAUUAGCGGUUACUGCAUUAUUUAUGAAAUCUUGCAGAUAGGAUGUCAAAACAUUGUUUCCUCGACGGUUUUCUUGAGGAAAGGUUGUAUGUGAUACCACCAGAAGGUUUGUCAAUCCUGAAAGAUGCUAACAAGUAUGCAAAGCUCCAGCUAUCCUUCUAAGGACUGGAGUAAGCAUCUCGGAGUUGGAAUGUACGCUUUGAUGAGAUGAUCAAAGAUUUUGGGUUUAUACAAAGUUUAUGAGAAACUUGUAUUUCCAAAGAAGUGAGUGGGAGCACUAUAGAAUUUUUGAUAAGUAUAUGUUGUUAACAUAUUGUUGAUCAGAAAUGAUGUAGAAUUUCUGGAAAGCAUAUAGGGUUAUUUGAAAAGUGUUUUUCAAUGGAAAAAACCUAGAUUAAGCUACUUGAACAUUGAGCAUCAAGAUCUGUAAGGAUAGAUCAAAAGCGCUUAAUAGUACUUUCAAAUGAAUACAUACCGUGACAAGAUUUUGAAGGAGUUCAAAAUAGAUCAGCAAAGAAGGAGUUCUUGGUUGUGUUACAAGGUGUGAGUAUUGAGUAAAACUCAAGACAUGACCACGACAGAAGAGAGAGAAAGGACGAAGGUUGUCCCCUAUGCUUUAGACGUAGGCUCUACAAUAUGCUAUGCUGUGUACCGCACCUGAAGUGUGGCUUGCCAUGAAUUAGUCAAGGGGUACAAGAGUGAUCCAGGAAUGGAUCACAUGACAGCGGUCGAACUUAUCCUUAGUAUCUAGUGGACUAAGGAAUUUUCUCGAUUAUGGAGGUGGUAAAAGAGUUCGUCGUAAAGGGUUACGUCGAUGCAAACUUUGACACUAAUCCGGAUGACUCUGAGUAGUAAACCGGAUUCGUAUAGUAAAGUAGUUAUUUGGAAUAGCUCCAAGUAGCGCGUGGUAGCUGCAUCUACAAGAUGACAUAGAGAUUUGUAAAGCACACACGGAUCUGAAAGGUUCAGACCCGUUGACUAAUAACCUCUCUCACAAGCGAGAUAUGAACAAACCCCAUGGGUGUUGGAUUCAUUAUCACAUAGUGAUGUGAACUAGAUUAUUGACUCUAGUGCAAGUGGGAGACUGUUGGAAAUAUGCCCUAGAGGCAAUAAUAAAAUGGUUAUUAUUGUAUUUCCUUGUUCAUGAUAAUUGUCUAUUGUUCAUGCUAUAAUUGUAUUAACUGGAAACCGUAAUACAUGUGUGAAUACAUAGACCACAACAUGUCCCUAGUAAGCCUCUAGUUGACUAGCUCGUUGAUCAAUAGAUGGUUAUGGUUUCCUGACCAUGGACAUUGGAUGUCAUUGAUAACGGGAUCACAUCAUUAGGAGAAUGAUGUGAUGGAAAAGACCCAAUCGUAAGCAUAGCACAAGAUCGUGUAGUUCGUUUGCUAAGAGCUUUUCUAAUGUCAAGUAUCGUUUCCUUAGACCAUGAGAUUGUGCAACUCCCGGAUACCGUAGGAAUGCUUUGGGUGUACCAAAUGUCACAACGUAACUGGGUGGCUAUAAAGGUGCACUACAGGUAUCUCCGAAAGUGUCUGUUGGGUUGGCACGAAUCGAGACUGGGAUUUGUCACUCCGUAUGACGGAGUUCUGGGCCCACUCGGUGAUGCAUCAUCAUAAUGAGCUCAAUGUGACUAAUGAGUUAGCCACGGGAUCAUGCGUUACGGAACGAGUAAAGUGACUUGCCGGUAACGAGAUUGAACGAGGUAUUGGGAUACCGAUGAUCGAAUCUCGGGCAAGUAACAUACCGAUUGACAAAGGGAAUUGUAUACGGGAUUGAUUGAAUCCCCGACAUCGUGGUUCAUCCGAUGAGAUCAUCGUGGAACAUGUGGGAGCCAACAUGGGUAUCCAGAUCCCGCUGUUGGUUAUUGGCCGGAGAACGUCUCGGUCAUGUCUGCAUGGUUCUCGAACCCGUAGGGUCUACACACUUAAGGUUCAGUGACGCUAGAGUUGUUAUGGGAAUUAGUAUGUGGUUACCGAAGGUUAUUCGGAGUCCUGGAUGAGAUCCCGGACGUCACGAGGAGUUCCGGAAUGGUCCGGAGGUAAAGAUUUAUAUAUGGGAAGUCAUCAUACGGUCACCGGAAGUGUUCGGGGGUAUGCCGGUAUUGUACCGGGGCCACCGAAGGGGUUCCGGGGGUCCACCGGGUGGGUCCACCUGCCCCAGAGGGCCUUAUGGGCUGUAGGUGGAAGGGAACCAGCCCCUAAGUGGGCUGGGCACCAACCUCCCCCUAGGGCCCAUGCGCCUAGGGUUGGGGGAAACCCUGGAGGGGGCGCCCCCCUUGACUUGGGGGGCAAGCCACCCUCCCUGGCCGCCGCCCCUCCCACCAGAUGGGAUCUGAGGGGGCCGGCCCCCCUCUCCCUUGCCCCUAUAUAUAGUGGAGGGGUGGGAGGGCAGCCAUACCUUUCCCAAGGCGCAGCCCUCUCCUCCUCCAACUCCUCCUCCGUAGUGCUUGGCGAAGCCCUGCCGGAGAACCACGAGCUCCAUUGCCACCACGCCGUCGUGCUGCUGGAGUUCUCCCUCAACUUCUCCUCUCCCCUUGCUGGAUCAAGAAGGAGGAGACGUCCCCGGGCUGUACGUGUGUUGAACGCGGAGGCGCCGUCCGUUCGGCGCUAGAUCGGAUCUUCCGCGAUUUGAAUCGCCGCGAGUACGACUCCAUCAACCGCGUUCUUGUAACGCUUCCGCUUAGCGAUCUUCAAGGGUAUGAAGAUGCACUCCCUCUCUCUCGUUGCUAGCAUCUCCUAGAUUGAUCUUGGUGACACGUAGGAAAAUUUUGAAUUAUUGCUACGUUACCCAACAACUACACCUACACCAAUACAAAUGUGCCUUAUCCGCAUAACAGACACAAUCUAAUCCAGAUGUCUUAAUACCACCCGGUCUAGGCGUCCUAUAACAUGCACCGCAUGCACACGCUGAAGGAUACGCCACCGCCAUCUUCCGCCAUCCCGUCUUCAGGAGGAAUCACUGCAUAGAUCUUGCCAGUCUCUUCUGCCGUCGACGUCACCACGACACCAAACAACGUCACCAGCCUGCGCGCGUCGAUCCAACUCUGAGACUCCACUGCUCCACGCCGCCGAGACCCACCGUCUUCAAUGUGAUCGAUGUAACACCGCUCCACCUGUUGGCCUCUCUAGUGAAUCACUGCUCUAAGGCGAUGCCCCCAGGAGGAUGAGCGGAAUCAAAGUCUCCGUCAUCAUCCGAUCUGGGAGACUCAGACCUAGGGUUUCCCCCGUAACAACUACCACCUGGAGGAAGAGGGGCACGCCAUCUGCAACUGCCGACGUACCCAAGCGGUGCCCACCGCCACGUAGCUCUCGCGACGAUGCCUUCAAGAAGGACACGAUGCCAAGAGCGCCGUCAUUGCCUUAGGGUUUUCACCCGAGCGACUGUGAGGUGGGAAAAGGUAGGGUGGAUCCGAACAACAUCUCCAAGAAGAAAAACGGCACCCUCGGGUGUCGUCGCCGUCACGGCCGGCAUGAGACGACCUGGAAAUUAUCCCAAUCCGGAUUCCCACCUUCCGCUCCAUCCCAACCCAAUAACCGGCUAGCAACGCGGCCAUGUCCAGUAAGACACAGUGCACGCAACAUUGGUUGGUGGAAGAAGCAGCUCGGCGCCAUAGGCCACCGGGACAGCAAGCCGCGGCACCAACCCGCCGGUGAAUCUCCGGCCAUCCGGUCCGAAACCCGGCAGCGUGGCGAUUGUUAGAGUAGUCAUUAUGGUAUACGACUUCUAGUCCAAGUCAGUUUUGUACCCCUACCCCAAGUCGGUUUGUACCCUCUUAUAUACUCUUGUAUGCCGCACCAAAUCAUCAAUAAGCAACAGUUUUAUUCAGCUUUCAUGGUAUCAGAUACCGGUCCCAGGGUUUAGGGUAUGGCUCCGCCAACGCCACCGCCACCGCCGCCGCCCGGCUACUUUGAGCGCCGGGCCGCACUCAUCGCCAAGGCUGCCAACGCCGCGGCCGCUUCUCUCUCGGCCCUCACCAUAGCUCCACAAAACUACCCUACACCCAUCCUCGCCGCACCAAUAUCUCUUGCUGACACAAUCUCCGACGUCAGCCCCUACAUCCCCAUAGUUCUUGAUCUCGCCGCCCACAACUACUACCAUUGGAGACAUCUCUUCGAUCUCCACCUCGGCCGCUGCAACCUGCGCUCGCAUGUCGCCGCCAACUGUCUUCCCCGCCCCAACGAUCCGCAAUGGUUGAAAGACGAUCUCGCGAUCGUCCAGUGGUUCUACACCCGCAUCACCACCGAGAUCUUCAACAUGCUCGAUCACGACGGCGCCACCGCUGCCAACAUCUGGCACGCCCUCCGUCAGCUCUUCCAAAGCAACACCGACGCUCGGAAAAACGCUCUCCACACCGAGCUUCGCAAUAUGGUGCAAGGAGACGCCCCGGUGAACCUGUUCUGCCAGCGCGUUAAGACCAUUGGUGAUGAGCUCCACGAACUCGGCGAUACAGUUAGCGACUCACAACUAAUCAAUAUCGUCGUCGUCGGCCUCAGCGAAGACUUUGACAAGCAAGCCUCGUUCAUACCGAUGAUACGGCCCCCUCCUACCUUCGCUGAAGUUCGUUCCUUGCUACAACUCGCGGCGGAAACACAAGCUCGCAAGGACUCUCGCCCCAAGGUCUUUCAUGCUGCGGCUCGUCCUCCUCUGUCGUCUACACCAGCGCCGCCUUCCAGGCCGGCUCCUGCCGCCGGGCCGUCCGCAUCGUCAUCUGUUCAACCGCCCCCAGGCUGGCGUCCUAGUCCGAACUACCGCGGCAAAAACCCUAUCUACAGGCCGCCGUCGACUCGUUCGGUUCCGCCUACGACAUCACCAGCACCGAGUCCUGCACCACCCACCAGUACUCCAUCUGCGGUUGCAUGGCGGCCUCCUCAUGAUCCUUGGACGGGGCUUGUUCAAGCAUGGCCCAUGCCCUGGUCCGCUCCGUCCACCCUCGGUGCUCCGCCGGCAUACUCAGAUGCCUGGCAACCCGGCCUUCGGCCGCCUACUGGUGCUCCCGGGGUUCUCAACCCCCGACAGCCGGCCAAUGCCUAUCACGCCGCCCCGACGUAUGCUCCUUAUGGUCAUUACACCAGCGACGGCGGCGCCUACUACACACCUCAGCCGGCCCUGCUCCCGACGCCACCCCCACCACAGCCGGCCAAUGCCUACUACACUCCCCAGCCGGCCCUACUGCCUUCACAAUCGUAUCCGCCGGCACUGCUUCCGACGCCACCCUCACCUGCGACGCCGAGCUGGGAUCAAGCUGCCUUUCUCCAGGCCAUGAAUAACUUUGCUGCACAAGGAAACUCAGGUACGGAUUGGAUCUUUGAUUCAGGGGCCUCUAGUCAUAUGUCUGCAUCUAGUAAUUGGUUAUCUUCUUGCACUAAAUCUCCUUUCCCUUCCAUUAUCCUUGGAGAUGGAUCCUCUAUUUCUAUAUAUUGUGUUGGUCAGGCUCAACUUCCCUCUUCCACCAAACCUCUUUUACUUCGCGAUGUUCUAGUUGCACCCGCCCUCAUUAAAAAUCUUAUCUCUGUUCGCCAAUUUACUUGCGACAAUCUAGUUUCGGCUGAAUUUGACCCUUUUGGUUUAUCUGUGAAGGAUUACCUGACCAAGGCCGAGAUCGCUCGCUUCAAUAGCUCCGGUGAUCUUUAUUCUCUUAAUGGAGUUCCUGCCGCCACCCCUCCAACAUCCAUGCUGGCCUCCGUCGAUCUCUGGCAUCGUCGCUUGGGCCAUCCCAACCCCGCCGUCUUAGCUUCUAUGCUUAGUGAAUUUACCAUACCAUGUAAUAGGGACUCUCAUAAUUCUGUGUUUUGCGAGUCUUGUCAAUUAGGCAAACAUGUGCGUCUUCCCUUUAGUUCCUCUAAUUCUUGUAGCACUUAUCCCUUUGAAUUAAUACAUUGUGAUUUAUGGACCUCUCCCAUUGCAAGUGUUUCGGGUUUUAAAUACUACCUUGUUAUCCUAGAUGAUUUCACCCACUUUGUCUGGACUUUUCCUCUACGCAACAAAUCCGAGGUCCAUUCUCUUUUCCUUAAUUUUCAACGCUAUGUGUCUGUUCACUUCUUCCUCCCAAUUCGCUUUACCCAAUGUGACAAUGGUCGCGAGUUUGAUAACAUUAAAAAUCGUACUUUCUUCUUACAACAUGGCAUCCUGCUUAGGUUCUCAUGUCCCUACACAUCCCCUCAAAAUGGUAAAGCAGAACGCUCUCUUCGCACCCUCAAUGAUAUAGUUCGCACUCUCCUCAUUCAAUCAUCUAUGCCUCCCAAGUUUUGGGCUGAAGCCCUACACAUGGCCACCUUCCUUCUAAAUAUUCGACCUUCUAAAACUAAACCCAACACUACUCCCUAUUAUUCCCUCUUUCUUUCCCACCCCGACUACUCCGCGGUUCGUGUUUUCGGCUGUCUCUGUUUUCCCAAUGCCUACGCCACUUCUGCAAAUAAUUGUCACCACGCUCUAUCCCAUGUGCUUUUCUCGGCUUCUCUGACGAGCACAAAGGCUAUCGCUGUCUCGACCUUCACACUGGACACGUUCAUGUCUCUCGUCAUGUCACGUUUGCUGAGCACAUUUUUCCUUUCUCACAACGCACUACUACACCAUCCAACACCCCUAGCUCCGCAAACACCCCCUCUCCCCGUCAUUUCCAACUAUAUACUUCCCUACCUGCCGAACACAACUUAUCACUGUGGACUCAAAUUCCGAGUGCGGAAGAAGAAUUCAUUUGCCCCCUUCAUUCUGUCUGUCAGGGUGCACGUAAGAAAUUUACACUUUGACGUACGUAGCUGCGUCCACCGUCACGUGCAACACUGCCCUUAUUUUUACAUCUCUCCACCGUGCCGCGAGGGAGGCAGACGAGAUCUGAUGCGUAGGCAGAUUUAACGAGACGGACGGCAGCAUCUUCCGUUUGCUGGCAGCUUUAUUGCAGACCCGACGAGGGGGUCGGCUGUGCUUUGCUUGGGCCCCAGCUUGUCCAGCACAGCAGUAACAGGAAGCAGUUUUUUUUUUAACUCUCGUUCUUUCUUUCUUCCUUCCUUCCAUGGAUGCUAAAAAUCUUCAACUCUAAUUUUAANNNNNNNNNNNNNNNNNNNNNNNNNNNNNNNNNNNNNNNNNNNNNNNNNNNNNNNNNNNNNNNNNNNNNNNNNNNNNNNNNNNNNNNNNNNNNNNNNNNNNNNNNNNNNNNNNNNNNNNNNNNNNNNNNNNNNNNNNNNNNNNNNNNNNNNNNNNNNNNNNNNNNNNNNNNNNNNNNNNNNNNNNNNNNNNNNNNNNNNNNNNNNNNNNNNNNNNNNNNNNNNNNNNNNNNNNNNNNNNNNNNNNNNNNNNNNNNNNNNNNNNNNNNNNNNNNNNNNNNNNNNNNNNNNNNNNNNNNNNNNNNNNNNNNNNNNNNNNNNNNNNNNNNNNNNNNNNNNNNNNNNNNNNNNNNNNNNNNNNNNNNNNNNNNNNNNNNNNNNNNNNNNNNNNAUUAAAUGUUGCUUCGAGUUUCAGAAUAUUGUUUUGGCGAGCUUAGACAUUUCGGCCCCAUGUAGCAGAUGCUCCAUAAUACUCGUAACUCCAUGCUGUCAAUGGGGCUUCGCGUUUCAAUGGGAUCGGUCCACCUGACCUGAUCCACGCACCGCACGGCUCUUAUAUUCAAGUCAGACAGGGGCACGAGCGAUCUGGAGAAGCAGGACACCUGGCCCCCCGUCCAGGAAGACGAUCAUGACUCAGAGGAGACGACAUAAACGGGACACAUUUUUGUAAUCCUUUCCCAUUCAUGAACCACUCGCCACGUCAAUGAUUGAGGCCCAUGAUGAACUCACUCAUUCAUGAGAAAAGGAGGCGUGGCUUUUGUACGGGAGAUUAUAUGGAACACCUGGCAUGCAAUCGACAGGCGUCAGCAAGCUAGCGAGCACUUGAUUUUCCAAAUGUUUCAUUUCGUAGUUGGAACACCCACCCACUUUCGUCUAGUGCCUACCCGUAAUUGUCUGGAGCGGGCACCUGUCCUUAGUUGUGAAGUUGUUCUUAGCUUGGCUACGAACAAAAUAAUACCCAGGUCUUUCACGUACCAAAGUGGCUCAUGGAUCUUAGAGGAAGAAACCUAACUGUAGCCACGUAUGAUUUGCAAAAAAAAAAUAUCUAGAAACUAUGCAUGGGUUGAACUUCUAUGAACCUUUUUUAGGGGAUGCACUUUUAAGAACUUUCAGAGCACAUACACUGCAGGAAAACUGACCCCACGUCGCUCUCGUCGGGGCCCGGAUCGAGACCUCGCCGCCGCAUCGCCAAGUUCUCGCGCACCACCUCUUGACGCAGCCGGAAAGCAUCGGUGGGCAAUGCAUGACCAACGUCGGCGGCAGCGGGACCUUCCCUCGCGCGGUGGCAUGAUCCAUGCCGUAGAAUUCGUAGCCUACACAACAUGCAUGGCGAUAGUCUCCUUUGAUCCCUCGACAAUAGCAACUGUUGCGGCCUGAUCCUCUAGCCCCGAUCUCAUUUGCAAUUUGAAAGUAUGCUGGCUUAGAGUCCUUAUGCAGAAUGUUGAUCACCUUUAAGUAGUUUGUUGCAAUCCUCGCUCGCCAAAUCAGCACAUCCUCUGCCAACGAGAGAGACUCCCGCACUGCAAACGCUUUGACAAUUUUAGCGUCUGAUACUCCCCGGAAAACCACCAAAGAUGCAUCCAAAAAAUCACAAGUACCACUGCACGCAACAACCGCCACUGCCACCUUGUCGUCGAGUUUUCCCAAAGCUCCAUCUACGUUGACCUUUGCCGAGCUGACUGGAGGUGGAACCCAAACCUAGGCAUUUACUUCUUCUCUUCUUUCUGAUGGAGCUAUGUCUAUGCCAAACCAGUUUAUGGCCCGCCCAGCCCAUCUCUCCCGAUCUUCUAAGUUCUGACAUUGUCAUCUAUGCUCACCUCUCUAGGGAGCUCCUAUUUGGCACGUGACGCUCUGGCGAAUGUGCCGGCGCGCACCCCCUCCACCUGCUCGCCCCUAUUGUGCCGGUGCAUGAGCGGGGCUAGACGAUUCCCAGUUUUUCAUUCCAUUUUUUGCAUUUUCUUCAUCUUUAAGAUAAUUAAGAAUUUACAAUAAGUUCCAAUUUAUUAUAAAAAGAAAUUUUUGCGGUUUAAAAAAGUUCGCGAACUGAAAAAAUGUUCAUUAAUUUUAAAGAAAGUUCAUCCUGUGAUUUGAAAAAGAAAUGUUCAUGUCUUCAAAAUUUUUCACAAUUUAAAAAAAUCAUGAUUUUUAAAAAAAUGUUCAGAACAAUGUUAGAGAAUUUCCGAAAAUUGUACUCAAAAUUUUUAAAAAUUUAUAAAUUUUUCUCGCUGAUUCAAAAAAUAUUCAUGAAUUCAAAAAAGUUUAUCAAAACAAAAAAGUUGUUCCAGAAUUAAAAACAUUGUUCGCCUAUGCAAAAAACUUGCUCACCAUUUCCAAAACGAAUGCACACAAUUUAAAAAAAUGAUAGUGAAUUCUAAAAAUGUUCAAAAAUUUAUAAAAAAAGUUCAUUAAUUUUAAAAUGCUCGCAAUUUCUAAAAUAUAAUGCACAUUUUUUGAAUUUGAAUAAUGUUCACCCUGUUUUGAAAAAAUAUUCACUGAUUUGAAAAAAUGUUCAUGAUUUUUUUUUUCAAAAUUUCAAAGAUAUGGUGAACAUUUUUUCAAUUCAAUGAAUAAAUUUUUAAUUUUGAAAAUUUUUCACCCCGAUUUUAAAAAUGUUCCCAGAUUUCAGAAAAUGUUCAUGAUAUUUUGAAAAGGAAAAUUAAAACGAAAAAACUAAAACUAAAAUAAAAGGUAAAAAUAAAAAGAGGAACGAAAAUUAUAAAUUUAAAAGAAAAACGAAAAUGAAAAAGAAAGGAAAUAACAAAAAAUCAAAAAAGAAGAAAAAACCAGCAAGGAGAAACAAAAGAAAAAGAACCGGUCUGGGAAAUUUUAGAGGAAUUCCUUGACUUGGCCCGUCUGCAGCUCCGCCACUGCUCUUCUCGGUCCUGGUUACAGGGAGCUCCUACUGGACGCUCGUUGCGCCCAACAGGGCGGCGACGCAUAGGGGGCGACGCGACUUUUGCACAGGCACGUCGCCGCAGUGCGCCGAUUGGGCCGGCCCAUUGGAGUGCGCUGCAAAUACAAGUUGAUAAUUUGCAAAAAAUAGCAGGGCGUGAUGGCUGGGAAUCGAACACAGCACUUCAGACUUGCCCUCGCACCCUAGUAGCCACAAGGAUGGAAGCGCUCGGUUUACCAAACUACAGCGGAAACCUACAAGAAAUAAAGAAAGUGAAAAACAUCCUUUACGAUUUUCCAAAUAGCAAAAACAAAACGUGAAUGUUUUAUCAAACGCGAACAUUAUUAGUUUUUUUUACAAAUUUUGAGAAAACUCAAACAUUUUUCAACACACAAACGAAUUUUGGAGACGCGAACAUAUUUUUUAGAACGGAAACAUUUUUUAAACUACCCAAAAACCUGAACAGGAACAAUUUUUCAAAUUUGGAAACAAAAUUUGGAAACACUAACAACUUUUGAAUUUCCCAAACAUUUUUGGAAUUUGUGACAUUUCUUUAAAGCACAAACAUUUUCUGAAUCUUGAGAACCAUUUUGAAACGGAGAACAAAUUUGGAAGCGCGGACAAUUUUUUAAAGCACAAACAUUUUUUGAAUCUUUGGAACAAAUUUGGAAAUGGAGAACAAAUUUGGAAGCGCGAACAAUUUUUAAAGCACGGACAUUUUUUGAAUCUUGAGAACAAAAUUUGAAAACUCCUAAACAAAUUUGGAAGUGCAAACAAUUUUUUAAAACACAAACAUUUUUUGAAUCUCGAGGACAAAUUUUGAAAUAGAGAACAAUUUUGAAAAAUCCUGAACAAAUUUGGAAGCGUGAACAAUUUUUUAAAGCGCAAUCAUUUUUUUGAAUCUUGAGAACAAAUUUUGAAAUAGAGAACAAUUUCGAAAAAUCCCACAACAAAUUUGGAAGCGCGAACAUUUUAUGAAAUCCGGUAUACUUUCUGCAUUUCGAAAGUUUUGAACUUUUUGUUUAAUGGGAACAAAUUUUGAAUUGGAGAACAUUUUUUCGAUAACUGAAAAUUUUAUGAAAAUACGAACAAAAUUUGAAUUUUUUGAAUUUCUUUUGAGAAAAAGAGAAGAAAAGGAAAAAGAAAAAGAAAGAAAACAAAAAUAUCAGGAACAUUUUUCGAAAUUGUGAACAAAAUUGUGUAAAUGUGAACACUAUUUCAGAAAUAUGAACAAUUUUUGACAAAAAGAACAUUUUAAAAAAUUCUGAACCAUUGAACUUUUCGAAAAGCUUACAAAGAAAAAGUAAAAAAACAGAAUAAGACAAAAAAACGAGAAAAAAGAAAGACAGAAUAAGACUGAAGAAAAAACAGUAGAAGGAACAAAUGGUUUUUUCCUUGCUUUUCGUUUCUUUAAAUUUAGCAUUGCUAUUAUAACAGAUCCACGAGCCAGUCGCUGUGGCUAGCGCGGUGUGUUCCGCUAGUAGGUUCGAUCCCUAGCGCUAUUGUCACAUCCCUAGUCUGAUAUGCACUUAGGCUAGCUAGAUAUGCUGCAUCAUGUCUAAAUUUCAUUUAAAGUUGAAUUGGGGAUGACCAAACCCUAGCACCAAAUGAAUUCAAGUAGGUUCAAAAUAAAAAAAUAUUUUCAAUGAACCCAAAAUGCCCUUAGAAAUGUUCAUGAUUUUUGAUAAAGGUGAAAACCUCUGCCAGAAAUGAUGAGCAUAUUUAUUGGCCAUUUAUGGAUUUUUGAGCUAAAUCAUACUGUAUUUGAAUUGAAGCAUUUAAUGCCUAUAAAUAUUUUAAAUGCUUCAAUACUUCUGAAAACAAUUGGGGGCUGUUGGGAAUAAUCCAGUAUCCGCCCACAAUUUAUUUCAGGAUUUUAUAAAGCGGUUUAGUAUUUUACUAAAUCCAAAAAAACAAAGACAGAAAAUAGAAAACAUGAAUAAAAGACAGAGGAGAGAAAGACUUACCUGUAGCUUACCUGGCACCUAGUUGGCCCAGCACUGUUGGAGGCCCAGCCCACCUGGCGACUUGCCAGUCGUCCUCAACCUCUGCCAGUAGGCAGAGGCGAAGGCGGGCACGGCGCGCGCUGAGGCCGCCACCUCCUCCCUGCCUGCCUCACGCCCCCGUGGCUUUCUCCCGACGCCCAGGAGACGUGGACGAAGCCCCGCACCGAUCCCCUCCUCUCUGGUUCCUCCCUCUCCCCCCCAGCGCUCGCGCCGCAGCCACCCGAGCGAGCCCGUCGCCGCCGAUCGCCACCACCGCGGCCACCGCCUUCCCCUCGCCUCACCAACGCGCCCAGAAGCUCCACCGUGACGUCCCCGUCCUCUCCGCUGAGCCACGCAUCGCCGGCAGCCCUGCAACGGCCUCACCAACCUCGUCUUCAACCUCGGGCACCUGAGCUCUUCGUCGUCGAUUCGCGCCGUCAAGGACGACCCCGAGCCCACUGACCCACUGCGUCGCCUCCCUGUGAGCUCCUGCUCCCGACCCCUCUCUCCCCGCCGUCGAAUCCCUCCUCUAGCCCCCUGGCCACCGCGGCCGAAGCUCGGCUCCGCCGGCCAUGACGCCGCCGUGGCCACUGUCACAUAGAGUUGCAACUGAGCACAUAGCCGUGCUCAGCGCAACGCCAGGAGCCCAAAACCCCCUCCAGCUGCUCCUGCCGUGCUUCGCAACACCGAAACCGCCGAGACCCGAACUCCGGCCGCCGCAUUCGUGCUCGCCGCCGUCGACUCAGACCACCCCAGCUCCUCCCGCUUGGCCUACUAGACGCGCGCGAGCCCCAGCUACGCGUAGGACCAAACCGCGGUCGAUUUGGUCGACCGUGGGCAAAUUCCGAUCCCCUCCGCCGUCCCGGGCUUCACCGGCGACAAGCCGUGGACCAAGUCCGGCGGGUUGACCCUGUUUGACUCCCCCCUGACCCACUGACGUGUGGGGCCAGCCUCUGUUAAAAGUUAGUUUAGUUUAAGUCUAAACUUAAUUAGGCACUGAGAGACUGACACGCGGGACCCACUGGUCAGGUUUGACCUGGACCGCCCAGUUGACCUGCUGACGUCACUGUGACGUAAUGCAGACGCUAUAAAUCAUUUUCUGGAUUUAAAAUAAUUCAGGAAAUUCCAGAAAAUCCUAUAAACUUCUAAAAAUCAUAGAAAAUCAACCGUAACUCCAAAUGAAAUAAUUUAUAUAUGAAAAAUGAUCAGAAAAAUCCAAUCUAUCCAUCUGUACCAUUUCCAUGCAUGUUAGAACAACUUAUAGCUACUGUUUAGGACAAAUCAUGUAAAUGGCAUUUGAAUUUCCACAUAUGGAGUUUGAAUUUGAAUCUUGGAUUCAAACCAACUUCAUUUAACCUGUUGCUAGUUGCAUUAGCUCAAAACACAUUCAUAUUGCCAUGUCAUAGCAUGCAUCAUAUUGUGCAUUGCAUUGAUCGUGUUUCUUCUCUGUUUGCCGGUAUUGUCCCCUCCCAGUAGACGUUGCUCCGACGAUGCGAUCGAUGACACUGAUGAAGAGUUAUGCUAUCUUCGGAAGUGUCAGGCAAGCAAAACCCCCUUGUUCAUUCCGAUACAAUCCCACUCUCUCGCUUCUGCUCUCUUUUACUGCAUUAGGACAACAACGCUUCAACUGUUACUUGUUGCGGUAGUUGAACCCCUUUCCUCUGCAUGACCUGUCAUUGUCACAGUAAAUAGAUGAAACCCACUAGCAUGAGUAGGAGUUGUUUGAGCCCUGAUGUGCCUACUCAUUCAUGCUUGUUUGUCAUGCCUGCUAUUGCUUAGAGUUGUGUCAGGUCUGAUUCAUCGGGAAUGAAUUGGAAUGUGGUGAACAUGUCCUACUGUUCAGAGCUAAGUGUGUGAACACGAUUUGGUAAAGGUAGCGGUGAGAGGCCAUGUAGGAGUACAUGGUGGGUUGUCUCAUUGAAACCGUCCUCAGGAACUGAGUUCUGUGUUUGUGAUCCAUGAACAGUUACUACCACGCAUUGGAAUGCUUAAGUGCCCCUCUCGACUUAUUAAUCAACCUGAUCUCUGUCCAGGAGUUGCAACUAGUUUCUGGUGUUUGUAGGUAGUGUUAGUAGUCUACCAAGUGGCACCCGGUACAGGUGGGCUUGGGACAGACUAGGCACACGUGGCCUGGUGUACCGAGUGGCACCCGGAUGGUGGGCUCGGGAACCCUGCACACAUCGUUUGGGGCCGUGAGCGACACCCCGGCCGGAUCUCCUUGCGGAUGGAACCCGAAUAGGCGAUAAACCUGGACUAGAGACUUGUGUGGUUAGUCAGGUCGUGGCCGACUCCCUCGCCAGGCUUCCGCUUGAAGGUUGCCGAGGUACACGACGUGUACAUGGUGGUAAGUGGCGAGAGCGUGUGUGACGAAGUACACCCCUGCAGGGUUAAUAUGAUCUAUUCGAAUAGCCGUGUCCGCGGUAAAGGACUUCUGGGUUGCCUAUAACAGUUCAUAGACAAGUGAAAGUGGAUUCUCUAAAAUGCGCAAGAUAAGCGUGAGUGCUAUGGAUGGCGUCCUCGUAGGGAGACGGGAGCGGAUCCAUAGUGGUGUAUUGAUAUGGUGAAUAUGUGGACUCGUGUGCGCCACCUCAAAAGAGUUACUUGCAGUCGCGGUUCAGGAUAGCCACCGAGUCAAAGCUGGCUUGCUGCAGUUAAACUCCACCACCCCCUUCGUUGAUACCGAUGCAUAUGUAGAUAGUUCUGAUGUAAGUCUUGCUGGGUACAUUUGUACUCACGUUUGCUUAUUUUAUGUUUUGCAGAGAGACGUCAGUCUCGCUAGUAGUUCCGUGUGGACUUCGACGUUUAGCUUGUUACCUCAGCUACGAUCUUGUGCCCUCGGCAGGGUCUGGUAGAUAGUCAGGCUUCUCAGCCUUUUUCAUUUAUAGAUGUCUGUACUCAGACAUGUUAAGCUUCCGCAUGUGUUUUGACUUGUAUGCUCUGAAUGUUGGGUCAUGAGACCCAUGUUUGUAAUAUCUGGCUCUUCGGAGCCUAAUGAAUAAAUACUCUGAGUCGUAGAGUCUUGUUGUGAUGCCAUGUUGUAUUUGCACAUAUCGAGCAUAUUGUGUGUAUGAUUGAAAUGCUUGGUAUGUGUGGGAUCCGACAAUCUAGUUGUCUAUCCUUAGCAGCCUCUCUUAUGGGGAAAUGUAGUCUAGUGCCUCCUUGAGCCAUAGUAGUCCGCUACAGCCCGGUUCACCGGAGUCCUGCUAGCCCAGCACUACUGCUCUGGACACUUGACUGGCCGGCAUGUGUUUCAUAUCGUUCCUGUGUCUGUCCCUUCGGGGAAAUGUCACGCGGUGACAUCCGGAGUCCUGCCUAGCCUGCUACAGCCCGGGUUCCCGGAGUCCUGUUAGCCUAGUGCUACAGCCCGGAUUCGCACGCUGCUGACCGACACGUUCGAUGUUGAUUCAUGUAUGCCUGUCCCCAUACGUUAGUGCCGCUUUGGGUUCACGACUAGCCAUGUCGGCCCGGGUUCUCUGUCAUAUGGAUGCUAGUGACAUUGUCAUAUACGUGAGCCAAAAGGCGCAAACGGUCCCGGGCCAUGGUAAGGCGACACCCGUGGGAGUACCGUGCGUGAGGCCGCAAAGUGAUAUGAGGUGUUACAGGCUAGAUCGGUGUGACUCGGAAUCGGGGUCCCGACAGCUUUGGUAUCAGAGCCCGACUGCCUGUAGGUUUACGAAGCCAAACUGGUCGAAGUUGAGUCUAGAAAUGCUUUAGUUAUAUAAGGGAAUUGAUUGUGGAAGGGAACGUAAGGCUCUUUUACUCCUUUACCUUAUAGCCUUCUGAUCUGAGUCACCCUCUUCUCUUCUGCGGGGAUUAAGAACUAGGCUUCUCAUCUUUCUAUCAGGAUCACAUGUUACUAAUCCGUAGACUCGUAGGAUUGUUGGUUUCAAGCCUCAGUUCAGUUUCUACUACUUCCAUGAGUUGACAGUUCAUCCCAGAACCUUGUUAUGAUGUUGAGUGGUUAUGCCACCAUUUUGCAGGAUAUCUCAAAUCCUUUUGAGCAUUCACAGCUGUUAUGCUGUCCGAGUCACCCCAAGUUUCUAAAUAGUCUAAUGCAUUUGCAAAUCCUUUCCGUCCGUUCCCGAUGUUCCUUUGGGCCAGAUUAACCACACUAAUCGUUGAGUUGAGGUACUCUGUUGCCUUGACAUAUAUGUUGGAGUUAUUAUUAUGACCCUAGGUGUCUUAGAGGAUCACCUAGUAAUCUAGCCAUGUUUUGUGUUCCCAGUGUGAUGAUUCUGGCCAUUAUUCUCGAAAGCAUCCCGUGAUGCAAUUUAGUUAGUAGGUUCUACUCCUGGGUUCUUGAACUCGAGAUUCACCUACUUACUUCAUGUUGAUAGUGUUGCUAGUUCCUUUAAGAUAUUAGUAACCUUUGCUUUAGCCCUCGAGGUCCGUGGUAUAUCGUUCUGCCAAUACCACGAACUGCUUAUGGCAGAAGUUCUCUUGAACCGAAAGAUCACAACCAGAGUGCUCAUGACGAGUUCUCCAUUCACAUUGUGAAUCUGCCAGUCCUUCUCCUUCUGCAUGGGUUAUCCGGAAGAAAUAUGUUGAACUUGUUCGACAUACUAAAUCUAUGCAUCCGCAACUCAGAAAACCAUAUGUCCCUUUGAGUUGUCCCUCUUUAGCUGUAUUCCGGCCCUCGUCUAUCAAUUGAUAGUCAGGAGUAAUUGUGCAUUUGUGUUAUCGAUGCCUAUUAUUCUUGUGGUCUGUCAAGCCAUUCUAAUCCGGAAUGACUAGGAGAAACAAACUCCAGUACCUCGUCCAUUUUUGGGAUUGAGUCAAAGCAAUUGUAUUCCGCAGACCAAAAUGCCAAUCCAGUUUUUGCUCUGCUCUACCUUGGAGUGUUACCAUCUUUAUGCCAAGAGUGUCAUGAGAAUUGCACCACCUCUCAUGAAUUCUUGAUGUAGUGAUACUUCUCGCCAUCAUUAUUCAUCUCUCGGUCUCCGUGUUGGUUGUAACCGGAAUGCUGACAAGUGAACUGUGAUGUGUGAAAUCAAUACACCUAGCAACCGUGUUGCUUGGUAGUUUAUGGACAACAAUCUCAUUCUUAGCGUGUUGGUUAUUCAAUCAUCAUCCUGAGAUUGAUCGUGUUACCUAGUCCCUUUUUCCUGGUGCACUCUUUGGUCAACGAGUUAGGGUUGUAUCAAUUCCUCGCUCUUUUUGAUCACAUCGUAUUGCCCUGAAAAGCAAGUUUGUUCUCGAGCCUAGUAACAUAUCGGUGGUUCGUGAUUUCUCGAAUAUCUUCUCGGAAGUGUUACCAGGUUGACACCUGACCGCUAUGUUGAGCUCGUGAUCAAAUGGUUCUCCUAUAAACCACCCCUUCUCCAAGAAUCUGUGUUGGAUACCCCUGAGCUAGUUGGUUAAGCUUAACAACAACUUGGAGAGUUGGAAGAUAAAAGCUUGCCCGACCACGCUCAUCCCUAAGGGUUAUCUCUUUUGUGUGUGUGUUGAAGAAAGAUGAUAUCUCCAUCGAUUGGUCCUCGUGAUCAGUUGUUGGAUCUAUUGCCUUGUCAAAACUUUGACUUGAGUAUGGGCUAUCGUCAAGUCAAAUCAGAACCAACGAUGUUCGUGAUGUUGUCUUACUCGUGGUCGAUCUCUCGAGCAUACACCAUUACAUCUUUUGGUCUGACCAAUGCUAUCACCGUGUUCACAUGAUGGUGGAAGUCCAGUGAUAUGGGAAUUCCGAUGAGUUGCUAUUGAGCCCAUCAACAGCAUCUUGUCUCCUCCUUAAUUCAUGUUGAACAUCAAGCUAGCGUUGGAAACUUUUGUAAGCGUUAUCUUCAUGUCCCUUUUAUGAAAUAUAUGUUUGGUGUAAGAAGUGACUUUCUCCAAGUUCACGUGCAUUAGGUGCAAGUUGCCGCAGUGAAUUUGAGAAAGUUAGUUUUGCUUCCUCUGGAAUCAUCCCAAGUCAGUCAUGCAUGUGCAAAGUAUACCAUGGUUUGGUAGAUUAAUUACCUCCAUUCCAUAUGUGUUCCUAGCACACCAAGCCACCGAUUGAUUUGUUCAAGGAAAAGGAGUUGCUGUGCGAAUACUAGUUCAUGCACAAGGCUUCGAUAUCCUCGUUGAUGGUUCCCCACCUGAACUCGGUAGUGUUUUAUUAUAAGACUACUACGUGGUCAUGCUUGUCUGGGACAGUGUGUUCACAUGUAUGUAGCAGAACUAGCUCAUGUUUGGGAGCUUGCUACCGUAGCUCAUUUCCCGAGAAUCUCGCAACGUCAUCUCGUCGAUUUGUGUUGCAAACCUUCAUUUUCUUCUAGGCUUGAUGAGUCUGGAAUAUCCUGUUACCAACCAGAUUUGAAUCUCAGGCAGAUGUGAUGGUUGAACGUUUCCCAAGAACUAUACUAAUGAUCUCUCUGUUACCGGUAAGUGGAUGUCAUGGCCAACACACCCAGCCGGAAGACCUAUUAUUGUAGUAUCUUGAUUGAGAAAGUUGGCCACCUCCCCAUAAGGAUUUCGUAGGAUUUGCUCCCUAGUUGUUCCUUAUGGAUUUUUAUAUUUCCGAAGUCCGACCUUUUACUUGAUGUUCUAGAUAUCAAACCAUACCUAUGAUCGGGAUAUGCUAGUGCAUCAAGGAGAACAUUAGAAGCGGAGUACUAAAUGUCUCUCGGUCGAUCAUCCAGAUUUGCUUCUUUGGCAUUGCUAAGGAAAAAUCUGAGAAAGUGAUGUCCUCCUUUGCACCUGCAUCCUCCAUCACCGUUCAUCAUGGUUGUAUGAUGUGUUGCCAGGAUCCUCGGCACGGAUGUUGGUAAAACCUUGAUGAAUAUGGAAAUGCUCAAGUUCUUGAAAGCACGCGCAGUCACUAGGUUAUGUCCUUGGUAUCAACUGGAAUGUGCCUUCCAUUUGCCGAGUUGUUCUAUAACCAUAGUUUCCUUUCCAAAUUGAGUGUGCCAUUCUUUUGAAUUCUUUCAAACGAUCAUUUGUAAAUUGCCUUACGCUGGUAUAAAGAGUUUCAAUGAUCUUUGUAUCAAAAGUAAUUCUUUUUGCCACUUAAGGGAAGAAUUCUACGAGUCACCUUUCCUAAGGUGCCCCGUUAUGGAGUCAUGGUAAUUAACUCCUCGCUGCUUUGGAACCCAUGCACCAUACUAUCUAAGCGUGGGAUUGUUGCCCACCAAAUCAAACCUCAUCGUUUGUUCUUCCAUCCCUCUCGACGUGUUUUGUGUCUCAACUCGAGAUGUUUCAACAUCUCAUUCCGCGAGUUGGUCUUGUAUAGCUCGAUCUUCGAGAAGAUCAAUCCUGUAGAGUUUCCCUCUCUUCCGUCAUCAUAGUUGGAUGAAGCUCUCGAAAGAAAAGAUGUCAAGAUCAAGAUGAUGCAAUGAAUCAACAUCUUCGAGAAGAACAAUUGGAUCGUGAAGAUUAUGUUAGUUUGCGUUCCCCUUUCAUCUAACCCUACGCUUGAAUCUCGGGACGAGAUUUUUGUUUAGUGGGGGUGAGUUGUCACAUCCCUAGUCUGAUAUGCACUUAGGCUAGCUAGAUAUGCUGCAUCAUGUCUAAAUUUCAUUUAAAGUUGAAUUGGGGAUGACCAAACCCUAGCACCAAAUGAAUUCAAGUAGGUUCAAAAUAAAAAAAUAUUUUCAAUGAACCCAAAAUGCCCUUAGAAAUGUUCAUGAUUUUUGAUAAAGGUGAAAACCUCUGCCAGAAAUGAUGAGCAUAUUUAUUGGCCAUUUAUGGAUUUUUGAGCUAAAUCAUACUGUAUUUGAAUUGAAGCAUUUAAUGCCUAUAAAUAUUUUAAAUGCUUCAAUACUUCUGAAAACAAUUGGGGGCUGUUGGGAAUAAUCCAGUAUCCGCCCACAAUUUAUUUCAGGAUUUUAUAAAGCGGUUUAGUAUUUUACUAAAUCCAAAAAAACAAAGACAGAAAAUAGAAAACAUGAAUAAAAGACAGAGGAGAGAAAGACUUACCUGUAGCUUACCUGGCACCUAGUUGGCCCAGCACUGUUGGAGGCCCAGCCCACCUGGCGACUUGCCAGUCGUCCUCAACCUCUGCCAGUAGGCAGAGGCGAAGGCGGGCACGGCGCGCGCUGAGGCCGCCACCUCCUCCCUGCCUGCCUCACGCCCCCGUGGCNNNNNNNNNNNNNNNNNNNNNNNNNNNNNNNNNNNNNNNNNNNNNNNNNNNNNNNNNNNNNNNNNNNNNNNNNNNNNNNNNNNNNNNNNNNNNNNNNNNNNNNNNNNNNNNNNNNNNNNNNNNNNNNNNNNNNNNNNNNNNNNNNNNNNNNNNNNNNNNNNNNNNNNNNNNNNNNNNNNNNNNNNNNNNNNNNNNNNNNNNNNNNNNNNNNNNNNNNNNNNNNNNNNNNNNNNNNNNNNNNNNNNNNNNNNNNNNNNNNNNNNNNNNNNNNNNNNNNNNNNNNNNNNNNNNNNNNNNNNNNNNNNNNNNNNNNNNNNNNNNNNNNNNNNNNNNNNNNNNNNNNNNNNNNNNNNNNNNNNNNNNNNNNNNNNNNNNNNNNNNNNNNNNNNNNNNNNNNNNNNNNNNNNNNNNNNNNNNNNNNNNNNNNNNNNNNNNNNNNNNNNNNNNNNNNNNNNNNNNNNNNNNNNNNNNNNNNNNNNNNNNNNNNNNNNNNNNNNNNNNNNNNNNNNNNNNNNNNNNNNNNNNNNNNNNNNNNNNNNNNNNNNNNNNNNNNNNNNNNNNNNNNNNNNNNNNNNNNNNNNNNNNNNNNNNNNNNNNNNNNNNNNNNNNNNNNNNNNNNNNNNNNNNNNNNNNNNNNNNNNNNNNNNNNNNNNNNNNNNNNNNNNNNNNNNNNNNNNNNNNNNNNNNNNNNNNNNNNNNNNNNNNNNNNNNNNNNNNNNNNNNNNNNNNNNNNNNNNNNNNNNNNNNNNNNNNNNNNNNNNNNNNNNNNNNNNNNNNNNNNNNNNNNNNNNNNNNNNNNNNNNNNNNNNNNNNNNNNNNNNNNNNNNNNNNNNNNNNNNNNNNNNNNNNNNNNNNNNNNNNNNNNNNNNNNNNNNNNNNNNNNNNNNNNNNNNNNNNNNNNNNNNNNNNNNNNNNNNNNNNNNNNNNNNNNNNNNNNNNNNNNNNNNNNNNNNNNNNNNNNNNNNNNNNNNNNNNNNNNNNNNNNNNNNNNNNNNNNNNNNNNNNNNNNNNNNNNNNNNNNNNNNNNNNNNNNNNNNNNNNNNNNNNNNNNNNNNNNNNNNNNNNNNNNNNNNNNNNNNNNNNNNNNNNNNNNNNNNNNNNNNNNNNNNNNNNNNNNNNNNNNNNNNNNNNNNNNNNNNNNNNNNNNNNNNNNNNNNNNNNNNNNNNNNNNNNNNNNNNNNNNNNNNNNNNNNNNNNNNNNNNNNNNNNNNNNNNNNNNNNNNNNNNNNNNNNNNNNNNNNNNNNNNNNNNNNNNNNNNNNNNNNNNNNNNNNNCAUUUGAAUUUCCACAUAUGGAGUUUGAAUUUGAAUCUUGGAUUCAAACCAACUUCAUUUAACCUGUUGCUAGUUGCAUUAGCUCAAAACACAUUCAUAUUGCCAUGUCAUAGCAUGCAUCAUAUUGUGCAUUGCAUUGAUCGUGUUUCUUCUCUGUUUGCCGGUAUUGUCCCCUCCCAGUAGACGUUGCUCCGACGAUGCGAUCGAUGACACUGAUGAAGAGUUAUGCUAUCUUCGGAAGUGUCAGGCAAGCAAAACCCCCUUGUUCAUUCCGAUACAAUCCCACUCUCUCGCUUCUGCUCUCUUUUACUGCAUUAGGACAACAACGCUUCAACUGUUACUUGUUGCGGUAGUUGAACCCCUUUCCUCUGCAUGACCUGUCAUUGUCACAGUAAAUAGAUGAAACCCACUAGCAUGAGUAGGAGUUGUUUGAGCCCUGAUGUGCCUACUCAUUCAUGCUUGUUUGUCAUGCCUGCUAUUGCUUAGAGUUGUGUCAGGUCUGAUUCAUCGGGAAUGAAUUGGAAUGUGGUGAACAUGUCCUACUGUUCAGAGCUAAGUGUGUGAACACGAUUUNNNNNNNNNNNNNNNNNNNNNNNNNNNNNNNNNNNNNNNNNNNNNNNNNNNNNNNNNNNNNNNNNNNNNNNNNNNNNNNNNNNNNNNNNNNNNNNNNNNNNNNNNNNNNNNNNNNNNNNNNNNNNNNNNNNNNNNNNNNNNNNNNNNNNNNNNNNNNNNNNNNNNNNNNNNNNNNNNNNNNNNNNNNNNNNNNNNNNNNNNNNNNNNNNNNNNNNNNNNNNNNNNNNNNNNNNNNNNNNNNNNNNNNNNNNNNNNNNNNNNNNNNNNNNNNNNNNNNNNNNNNNNNNNNNNNNNNNNNNNNNNNNNNNNNNNNNNNNNNNNNNNNNNNNNNNNNNNNNNNNNNNNNNNNNNNNNNNNNNNNNNNNNNNNNNNNNNNNNNNNNNNNNNNNNNNNNNNNNNNNNNNNNNNNNNNNNNNNNNNNNNNNNNNNNNNNNNNNNNNNNNNNNNNNNNNNNNNNNNNNNNNNNNNNNNNNNNNNNNNNNNNNNNNNNNNNNNNNNNNNNNNNNNNNNNNNNNNNNNNNNNNNNNNNNNNNNNNNNNNNNNNNNNNNNNNNNNNNNNNNNNNNNNNNNNNNNNNNNNNNNNNNNNNNNNNNNNNNNNNNNNNNNNNNNNNNNNNNNNNNNNNNNNNNNNNNNNNNNNNNNNNNNNNNNNNNNNNNNNNNNNNNNNNNNNNNNNNNNNNNNNNNNNNNNNNNNNNNNNNNNNNNNNNNNNNNNNNNNNNNNNNNNNNNNNNNNNNNNNNNNNNNNNNNNNNNNNNNNNNNNNNNNNNNNNNNNNNNNNNNNNNNNNNNNNNNNNNNNNNNNNNNNNNNNNNNNNNNNNNNNNNNNNNNNNNNNNNNNNNNNNNNNNNNNNNNNNNNNNNNNNNNNNNNNNNNNNNNNNNNNNNNNNNNNNNNNNNNNNNNNNNNNNNNNNNNNNNNNNNNNNNNNNNNNNNNNNNNNNNNNNNNNNNNNNNNNNNNNNNNNNNNNNNNNNNNNNNNNNNNNNNNNNNNNNNNNNNNNNNNNNNNNNNNNNNNNNNNNNNNNNNNNNNNNNNNNNNNNNNNNNNNNNNNNNNNNNNNNNNNNNNNNNNNNNNNNNNNNNNNNNNNNNNNNNNNNNNNNNNNNUGUUAAGCUUCCGCAUGUGUUUUGACUUGUAUGCUCUGAAUGUUGGGUCAUGAGACCCAUGUUUGUAAUAUCUGGCUCUUCGGAGCCUAAUGAAUAAAUACUCUGAGUCGUAGAGUCUUGUUGUGAUGCCAUGUUGUAUUUGCACAUAUCGAGCAUAUUGUGUGUAUGAUUGAAAUGCUUGGUAUGUGUGGGAUCCGACAAUCUAGUUGUCUAUCCUUAGCAGCCUCUCUUAUGGGGAAAUGUAGUCUAGUGCCUCCUUGAGCCAUAGUAGUCCGCUACAGCCCGGUUCACCGGAGUCCUGCUAGCCCAGCACUACUGCUCUGGACACUUGACUGGCCGGCAUGUGUUUCAUAUCGUUCCUGUGUCUGUCCCUUCGGGGAAAUGUCACGCGGUGACAUCCGGAGUCCUGCCUAGCCUGCUACAGCCCGGGUUCCCGGAGUCCUGUUAGCCUAGUGCUACAGCCCGGAUUCGCAUGCUGCUGACCGACACGUUCGAUGUUGAUUCAUGUAUGCCUGUCCCCAUACGUUAGUGCCGCUUUGGGUUCACGACUAGCCAUGUCGGCCCGGGUUCUCUGUCAUAUGGAUGCUAGCGACAUUGUCAUAUACGUGAGCCAAAAGGCGCAAACGGUCCCGGGCCAUGGUAAGGCGACACCCGUGGGAGUACCGUGCGUGAGGCCGCAAAGUGAUAUGAGGUGUUACAGGCUAGAUCGGUGUGACUCGGAAUCGGGGUCCCGACAGCUAUCGUUUUUUGCGGUUCAUCUCGCGAGUCGAAACCAAUAAAAUGGGCCGGCCCAGGGUGAGCUGCGCCCUGUGCGAAGCGUCGAAUAGGGAAUUCCCUGGUUACCACCUCUUUUUUUCUUUUCUGAAAUGACCACCUCUUAUUUUUCUUGACGCAAGGCUGCUCUCUUGUGUCACGGCCGCCACUUCCUAAAGAAAGUAGAGUAAAUUAGGAAGAGGAAAGAAGCGGAAGGAGAUGCGGUCAUCAGGGCUGUGCCGAACCAUCGAGGCGGCAGAGGAAGAUGAUAUGUAUCGUGAAAGCAUAGCACACCACACAUGUACUGCAGGCGGCCGGACCUGACCAUGUCCAUCGAUGGCUUCGACGACGGCAAGAUCGACAUGGUGCUGCAGUUGCUCUGUCCACCAAACAACGCCUUUUCUCUCCACAGGUUCUUUCUUCUGCUGGUCUGUAUCCAACUUAUUUCUUUCUAUUUGGCAAUGCACUCCAAGUGUUUGAUGAAUUGUUAAAUUCAUUUUCUUUACCCACGGGAAGGCAGAGUUCAAACAUAUGGACAAAGAUGAGAAUAUUUAAUGUAGUUUAAUCUGCAAGGUAUACUUGAGUCUAUAAUGAUCUAAACUCAGGAAUAUUAAUGUUGCGGCUAAGGGGAAAAUCCGAAGUUUUUUUUUUUGAGGGGAAGGAUUGUUUGUUCGUGUUUGCAAUUUGCAAGUGUUGCUUAUUAGCCCUCCUGGUACAUCCCGGCCUCGUUAAAUUACAAGGCAAACCCUACUUACUGUCCCCACAAUGUACGAGAAGGCAUCACCCAUAAGCAGUAUGAUAUGGAAACUGAUGUUAGUUCACAAAUACUCCCUCCGUUCCAAAAUAAGUGUGGUGAUUUUAGUUCAAAUUUCAAAUAAAAUCAUGACACAUUUUUUGGAACGGAGUAAAAGUUAUGCAUCUAAGGCUAUCACAUCACAAAUGUUUGAAGCUCUUAUGCUCAUAAACAAACUGUGUAACAGCACUUCGUACAGUUUAGGUGUUGUCAUUGAAAGCAAGUGCAAGUUCCAGUGAAGUUUAGCCCUAGAAAUGCAAAUGCUAAUCCUUGGAAAUAGAGAUUAAAAUAGUAGCUAGUCUUGCCAGGGAAUACAAGGUUGUACGAUGCACAGAAGAAAAGAAACGCCGAAAACAGAAUCUCAGGAAAAUUAACCCUGCAAGAAAAAUAUGAUUUCAGUUACAGUCUAGCGUCUAAUAUAUCUUAUAGUAAGAUUGCCCAUAACCUUGACUUAGAGGUUUACCUGUCUCUUAAUCUUUUUCUGGUUUUCUGAAGCAAGGGAACCUUGUUAUCUUCAAAAUUGUUCCCUGUCUUCUUUGUCACGAGCCACUCGUCAAACUCUGUUAAUUCGAAUAGACCAACCAGUGCAGCUCUCGUGCGGUGUAUUGUCAUCACACUCUCAAACAAAA
rnacentral:lncRNA from 1 species